UUUUUUUGCCCUCAAUAUGCAUCAUUCAAGCCACCUCAUAAAUUUUCAACCCUUUCUCACUUCAUUUGCUAUUUUCCAAGCAUUAAAUGAUUUAUUUGAGCUAAAUGACCCUUAAAUUGAAAAGCUCUACAAAUGAACUCUGAAAAGGCUGAAACUUGGCACGGUAUCAUCAUUUCACCCACAUGGCAUGUGCUAAAAAGUUGGGAGGGUUACGGCAAAAACAGGAUGCACUUCGUGUACAAACUGGACUAUCUCUUCCGAAGUAUCAGGGUUCCGGACAAAUACUCAUCUCUUACAAAGGCAUUUCAUUUUUUUAAUCUUAUUUAAACUCCAGACUUUUUCUGCCCUCAAUGUGCAUCAUUCAAAGCCACCUCAUAAAUUUUCAACCCCUUCUCACCUCAUUUGAAAUUUUCCAUGCAUUAAAUGAUUUAUUUGAGCUAAAUGACCCUUAAAUUGAAAAGCGCUACAAAUGAACUCUGAAAAGGCUGAAACUUGGCAUGGUAUCAUCAUUUAACCCACAUGACAUUUGCUAAAAAGUUGGGAGGGUUACAGCAAAAACAGGAUGCACUUUGUGUACAAACUGGACUAUCUCUUCUGAAGUAUCACGGUUCUAGACGAAUACUCAUGUCUUACUGUUGGAAAUAUGCCCUAGAGGCAAUAAUAAAAUGGUUAUUAUCAUAUUUCUUUGUUCAUGAUAAUUGUCUAUUGUUCAUGCUAUAAUUGUAUUAACAGGUAAUACAUGUGUGAAUAAAUAGAUCACAAUGUGUCCCUAGCAAGCCUCUAGUUGGUUAGCUCGUUGAUCAAUAGAUGAUCAUGGUUUCCUGAUCAUGGACAUUAGAUGUCAUUGAUAACGAGAUCACAUCAUUGGGAGAAUUAUGUGAUGGACAAGACCCAAUCCUAAGCUUUUCUAAUGUCAAGUGUCUUUUCCUUCUACCGUGAGAUUGUGCAACUCCCGGAUACCGUAGGAGUGCUUUGGGUGUAUCAAACGUCACAACGUAACUGGGUGACUAUAAAGAUGCACUACGGGUAUCUCCGAAAGUGUCUGUUGGGUUGGUACAAAUCGAGAUCGGGAUUUGUCACUCCGUGUGACGGAGAGGUAUCUACGGGCCCACUCGGUAGAACAUCAUCAUGACCUCAAUGUCUCGAAGGAGUUAGUCACAGGAUGACGUGCUAAGGAACGAGUAAAGAGACUUACCGGUAACGAGACUGAACAAGGUAUAGGUAUACCGACGAUCGAAUCUCGGGCAAAUUCUAUACCGACAGACAAAGAGAAUUGUAUACGGGAUUGAUUGAAUCCUUGACAUCGUGGUUCAUCCGAUGAGAUCAUCGUGGAACAUGUGGGAGCCACCAUGGGUAUCCAGACCCCGCUGAUGGUUAUUGGCCGGAGAGAUGUCUCGGUCAUGUCUGCAUGCCUCCGGAACCCGUAGGGUCUACACACUUAAGGUCUGAUGACGCUAGGGUUAUAGGGAAUUGUUAUACGAGAUUAUCGAUGGUUGUUCGGAGUCCCGGACGUCACGAGGAGCUCUGGAAUGGUCUGGAGGUAAAGAUUGAUAUAUAGGAUGGAUGGGUUUGGACGCCGGAAAUGUUUCGGGUACCACCGGCAAAGUACCAGGACCACCGGAAGGGUUCUGGAGGCCCACCUGGAGGGGCCAAAGCCCCAGGAGGCUACAUGGGCCAAGUGUGAGAGGGAACUAGCCCCUGGGUGGGCUGGUGCGCCCCCCACACCCAGCCCAAGGUGCCUAGAGAGGGAAAGGGGGGAAACCCUAAGUCAGGUGGGCCUAAGGACCACCAGGGGUGCGCCACCCCCUCUCCCCCUCGUGGCCGCCACCUCUAGCCCCAUCUCGGGCUUCCGCACCCCUUUAGGGUGAGAAACCCUAAAGGGGGUGCCACCCUCCCUUCCCCCUAUAUAUAGCGGGGUUUUUUGCCAUUGGAGACACGGUUUUCCAUCUCUCUCUCGGCGCAGCCCUGCUCUUCUUCUUCCUCCUCUCCCACGGUGCUUGGCGAAGCCCUGCCGGGAGACCUCGUCUCUCCAUCGACACCACGCCAUCGUGCUGCCGGAGAUAUUCUCCAACCUCUCCCUCCUCCUUGCUGGAUCAAGGUGUGGGAGACAUCACCGGGCUGCUCGUGUGUUGAACACGGAGGUGCUGUGGUUCGACACUAGGUCGGAAUCACACCGCGAUCUAAAUUGCCGCGAGUACGACUCCAUCAAUAGUGUUCUAGUAACGCUUCCGCUUAGCGAUCUUCAAAGGUAUGAAGAUGCACUCUCCCCUCUCUCGUUGUUGAUCUCUCCAUAGGAAGAUCUGGAUAUGACGUAGGAAAAUUUUAAAUUUAUGCUACGUUACCCCAACACUUACAAAGGCAUGCCAUUUUUUAAUCUUAUUUCAACUCCACACUUUUUUUGCCCUCAAUACGCAUCAUUCAAAGCCACCUCAUCAAUUUUCAACCCUUUCUCACCUCAUUUGCUAUUUUCCAUGCAUUAAAUGAUUUAUUUGAGCUAAAUGACCCUUAAAUUGAAAAGCGCUACAAAAGAACUCUGAAAAGGCUGAAACUUGGCAUGUUAUCAUCAUUUCAUCCACAUGGCAUGUGCUACAAAGUUGGGAGGGUUACAACAAAAAUAGGAUGCACUUCGUGUACAAACUGGACUAUCUCUUUCGAAGUAUCACGGUUUCGGAUGAAUACUCAUCUCUUGCAAAGGUAAUUAAUUUUUUUAAUAACCUAAAAAUUAUCAAAUUUAAUAUAAUGAUAAAACACACUAAUAUUAAACAUCAGAAAAAAGAAUGACUAAAAAAUCUAUUUUUAAAGUAAAGUUAUUCACAAACUAGUGAUUCACACAAAUUUCAAAAAAAUUCAAAUUUAAACUAUGUAAAUUUGAAAAUUAGUAGCACUAAUAGAAAUUUUGUAGAUUUUUUGACCCAAAUCAAAAAGAUUCAUUCAAAAACUAUAAAUAGUCUAACAGUUAUUUUAAAUUUAAAAACAUAAAUUGUCCUCUUUAGAAAAACAAAAACAAGAAAAAAGAGAAAAUUGACCUUUAGUCCCGGCUGAAGCCACCAACCGGGACUAAAGGUCCCUUCUCGCGCGGAAUUUAGGCCGCCGAAAGUAGACCUUUAGUCCCAGUUGGUGGCUAUAACCAGGACUAAAGUUGUUUGCGAGUAGGCUAGGCGCCCAACCUUUAGUCCUGGUUGGUGCCACCAACCGGGACUAAAGACCCUUUAGUCCCGGUUCGUAGAGCCAACCGGGACUAAAGGUUCCUAUAUAUAAAAUGCCGCGCCCGUUCGGCCCCAAUCUCUCCCAUUCGAUCGAUCUCCCCGCGUGCACCCUCAACGUCGUCGUCCGACCGCUCUGCUCCCAAGCGCUGCUCGAACCCGUGCCGCCGCCGCCACUCCUCCGCGGGCGCCCGCCUCGAUCCUCCAAGUGCCACCGCGGCCCGAGCCCGCACCGGUGCUGCUCCUCCCCGCCUCCGUCUCCAGCGACCAUCCCUGCUGGUGAGCCUCUCCUCUCCUCUGCGACUACUUGUCGUUUCUUCUUCACAUGAUAAACCUGCAAGGAAGAACAUUUUAGUAGAUGAGUUCAUGUUUCAAACGGCAUUUGGACUACUUUAGCAAUAAGAACAUGUGUUGGACCGAAAACAGAAUAUAGAAAAAUCCGAAAUUUAGCUCUUGGUAGGGGUGAGUGCUAUGUCAAUUUGUUGGAUAGUGCUCCUUCUCUAGCUUAUAGCUGGCUAAUUAUUGAUGAUUUUCUUUACCAAUUUGUCACAUUUGGUGGUUUCUUUAAUAAAGAUUGACGAAAACUUGAUGUAGUGUAGUCCUGGUGGUUGCACGCUUGCUAUUUUCCGCGAGCGUAUAGUUGAUAAUUCUAGACGAUUUUAAUGUUGCAUUGUCAUGUCAAAUUACAUGCAGCAAAUCAAGUUCAUAAAUUUUCACUUCUUUUACAACAGUAGGCAUUCCAUGGAAUUUCUUACACAAGUACUUGUACCUGUUGUGGAAAAUUGUCAAUAUCUCCUUUCUUGAUCUUAAUCAACUAAUACGUGAAUUUAUUUUAUAUAGUUAUUACGAGAUGCAUACUUUCUAGAUAACAUCUUGUAAAUAAGAACACAAACAUAUGGUACAAUUAUUGCACAUAAAUAGUUGUAAAAGUUUAUUAAAGUUUAUUAAAUAGUAGGAAUUUAAAUAGUUGUAGAAUUGGUUCUCGGCGUCGACGAUGCCUAUCCCGCAUUCUCGUCAUCGACUCGGUAGCGACCACCUGCUUGAGAGGCGCCAGCAUGUCCGGGACUGGGCUCCGCUAGGCUGGCACUCGGAGGAGCUACCUUUUGAGGUGCGCAGCUUGGUGAGGAACCGGGCUCCCGUCAUCGACCCGAAGCUUCUUUGGUGGCGGUCACGUGGGCCACUUUCGGUGCCGAGGCGGUCGGCCCCCUAGGAGGAGGUACGUCGCCGUGUCAGGGAGGAGGACAAGCACGCCCGUCGCUACAUGGAGGCGUUGGACGCCAGGUUCUCCAAUACCUGGCAGAUUCUUCAAGGAUCUCACCCGAGCUCUGAUCUGGUGAUGGUUCCUUCUCUUUGGGUGUCCACCGCCCGCGACUCAGUACAUCGGCAACUCUUUGUUGGUUGAUCAGUUAGAUAUUAUUCGAAAGAUGUAUUAGUGAUGUAUUCAAGAUUAUAUAUUCGAUAAUAUUAAGUGGAUUAUUUGACGAUGCAUUAAUUAAGUGGAUUAUUUGAUGUAUUAGUGAUAUUAUAUAUAAUGAUGAUCUUGCUAGCUAAAGUGAAUACUAAAUUGUUUAUCUUUUUCUCGGUUAGUUAAGCUAUGGACGGUAGAGACAAAGACCAUGAUCAAGAGCAUGUCUUGUACGACACUAUACGCUCUAGAAAUGAAGAGAAUGAAGAAGAAGAUGAUUGCUCACAAUACCUUAACCCAUCCGGUGAGGGAAUUGAGGAAGAACAACCAAGAGACGAAGGGGAACGAGACGAUGAUGCUGAAAAUAAAAUUCUCAAAUUAUCAAAGUCCGGUGAGGUAUAUAUUUGGCCUAUGGCGAUCAUUAGAUGUGUAUUAAUUGAUUUGUAUAUAUAUAUUAACGAAUCUCCUCUUUUAGCCAUCCGGAUCAAGAAAAUCUUCUACGAGCAGGGAAAUACGAGGCCCGGCAAAAAAGUUGCCCGAGGGCACGAGGUACAACAUUGACGAGAUAACAUUAGGUGGAGAACCAACUGAUCCCAAAAAGAAUGCAUCCAAAUUUGUACGUCAAUGUGGAGUUAUUGUGAGGGACCAAAUCCCUAUCUCCAUUGAAGAAUGGCAUAAGCCAAAGCAAGAUCGAGAAGUUAGCUUUAUGGACGAAAGAGAAAAAAAAUCUGCUUUGGGAUACACUCAUGACACAUUUCACCCUACCACAACAUUUCUCAGAUAAACAAUGUGAGAAAGUCAAUAAGUUUGCUAUUAAGAAGAUGGCCACCCAAUUCUGCAACUAGAAGAAAAGGUUAUGGGCCGACUUCGGCAAACAAGGUAAGGCUUCAGAAUUCACUGGACAAUACAAGAAGAUAAAAGAUCACUGGGACUUAUUUGUGCAGUUCAAGCAAACAGAAAUAGCUAAGGAGCGGACGAGGAUAAACAAGGAAAAUGCUCAGAAAAAAGAGCAUCACCAUUCUCUGGGCCAGGUGGCUAUAAGAGUGGCAUUCCUAAGUGGUAUGAAUUCGAGCACAAGAUGAUUGAUGCAGGGGUCAUUCCGCAAAUAUCCACUUGGCGUGAAAGGUGCAAGAAUUGGUUUUAUAGGCAUGGGGGAAAGUUGGACCCAAAGACAGGGUUUCUUGUGGAGCAGGCAAGUCUUAAAAAUGUCUCUCAAGCUAUACUUGCUGCAAUAGAAGAUGCUCGAACGGGGGUGUUCCAGCCCGAGAGAGAGAACGACGAGCUUACACACGCCCUCAAGAAUCCUUAACACUCGAGAAGAACACGAGGCAAAGGCGUUAUUCCGUGGAUUGAGGGGUUUAAGGACUCGAGCGACUCUUACAAAAGACGCUCGAGAAAGAAGAAUCAGGAGGCAGUCAAGAAGAAGCAGGAUGCUGACCGGCUUGCGGAUUUGGAACGCAUAUUCUUGCGGCAGCACGAGUAGAUCGACACACUUAGCCACCAAAGGACGCCUCAGCUGCCAGAGCAACCACCAGAUCCAGCAUUGGAUAGUACCGUCCCAUCGAUGUCGAAAAGUAGUGUGGGUUCCAUGGGGGUCCUUGCCGAUGAUGCACUGAUGGCUUGCUACCCCAUGGAUGAAAUCAAAGAGACGAAAAGUUGCGAGCUACACAUGAAACUCAAGAACGUAUCCAUGAAGGCAGCGGUCGGCUAUGCUUUAACAAAUCUCCCUGAUGCAACCUUCCAUUCCACUCCGAUUCCACCUGGCUAUGCUCAUGCCGGGGUGGAUGAAGUGAUGCCGGGAUAUGAGUCACUAGAGCUCGACAUUCCUCGAGGUGAAGGGCACCACACACUUCAAGAAGUCUUACGUGAUCUCUGCUUAUGGAGAAAGGACUGCAUCGUCUUUCCAAGGCCACCGACUACUCCUCCAAGUCCGCCGCGUCAGCCGACUCUAUUCCACCAGCCCGACGCGGAGCGCAGCAUUAGUUCGCCACCGCGUCAGCCGACUCCAUCCCACCCCAGCAUGGAGCCCGGCGCUUGUCCGCCACCACGUUAGCCGACUCCAUCCCACCCCAGCAUGGAGCCCAGCACGAGUCCGCCACCGCGUCAGCCGACUCGACCCCGCCAACCCGCCACCGGGAGGCCAUUUCAUUUUUGAUGAAUAACUAUAGUCUAAAGCGGAAUAAGCCAAGGAAGAAACGCACCCCUCCCCCCCCCCAAAGUUGGCUUACGAGAAGACCGCGGACGAAAUACACGAGACAAUGGAUGCUGAGUUGCGAGCCCAUUUUGCCAAGAGAAAGCCCCCGCCAGAGGAGAUAAUACCUCUCGAAACCGUCAAGCGCGUUCUGGCCAAUCUUUCGGACCCGUCGCGUGCGAAGAGAACUAAAUCAUACUAUGACUGAUCUGUUAUCAAGUCACAUUAAAAAGGGCAAACGAGGGGGAAGAUCCUUACUAAAAGAAGCAGGAAAACCAUUCUCCAGCUCGGAGAACAGUCGGUGCAAUCGAUCUCGCCACUCAAGGUGGGUACCGAUGAUCAAGUCAAUCCCGAUGUUGCUAAAGAGAUGGCUACAGAGGCCGGUCUCACUGUUGCACAACUCCUAGGCAACGGGGACAUUCCCACGAUGGAAGGGGAUAACCAACUAGUAUGGACAUUUCAACACAAGAAACCUCUCGUCGGGCCUGAGGUUGUCAAGCAGCUAUCAACGCAAAUGUACAGACUCCAUACCUGGUACAUGAAGGAAGCAGAACUCGGGCAUACGUCCCUCAUGGUGAAAUUCAAGGAAGAGCAUUUCUUCAAUGCAAAAGAUUUUUGGAUUGACAAUCCAAAAUUAUGGCAGUUAUACAAUCAAGACGCACUCGACAAAUCUAUCGCCAGUUGCUAUUGUCUGUAAGUGAUUUCUUUCUGUAAUUCAAGUCCCUAGCUCUUGGCUCGUUCAUUUGCCUCUAAUUAUCCUCAUUAUAUUCUUUCGUGUGUGGUGUUAUGCGGAAUGAAGAUGUUUGAAAUGAAAAAAGAUGGAGCAUAUGACAUUGGCUUCAUUGACCCAAAUUGCAUUUAUGAGAAGGCGGUAAUAGAAUUCCCAAAAGAUACAGAGGAGAACUAGUUCAGGUUAUUGGAGAUACUAAGUCACAAUGAAAAAAUAUUAUUUCCUUACAACUUCAGAUGAGCGUUACUGUCUUGUAUUAUAAAUUCUAUUUUGCUUACCCGAUCGAUGUUAAGUUUACGUAUAGUGCUUGAUGAGUUGCAUGCAUGCCCGCUUAUACAACGCAGAUUCCACUCGAUCCUGCUAGUCAUUACGGUUGACGAGGGAACCGUUCACGUACUGGACUCACUAAGAAAAGACGAGGACGAGUACAUGUCCCUCAAGUUCAUUCUCGACUGGUAAUUCCAAUCAUUAUCACACUAUGUCGGCCUCAUUAAUUCAUUUCCUGAUAUCAAUUAAUCAAUGACUCAUUUUAUUCUUUUUCUUUGCCAGGCAGGGUUUGGAGUCGGUUCAUCAAGAAUGUUCACGGUGAAUGGAAACCAAAGCUGCGAUGGACAACGUCCACGGUAAUUAAGUAGUACUAGCUACGUCUGUGCAUCUCCUUUGUUCUAGUUCAGUACCAUUAUAAUGCUUGAUUAUUAUCUGACUGAAUUUUAUUCUCGUAAAGCAUUGCAUGCGGCAGCAACCGGGGAAUAAUUUAUGUGCAUACUAUGUUUGCGAGAACAUUCACUUUAUAAUCGAACGACGGAUAAAAAUCGAGGAAAUCUUGAGGUACGUAAAAAGUAUUCACAAUUUUUAUAUCAUGGUCUAAUAUAUAUACGCAUGUAUAAAAUAUUUAUAUUGGUCUCCUUCUUUAAAAGAGAUUGGAGAAGCGGGAGAAACUCCUCCGAACGGAACGCAUACGAGCACUUCAAGAGGAAAUUUCCGGAUUUUUGCUCGAGCAGGUCAUAGAUCCCAAAGGAGAAUACCACUUCACCAAUUAAUGCAUGCAUGUAAUUGAUCCGCAGGUUGUAUGAGAAAUUGUAUAUACGGAAUUGUAUAUAUAGAUAUAUGUUAUAUAAUAUGAGCAUGCAUUUGGUCCCUCUCAAAAUUCUAUGAUAUAUGAUUGGUCCUACGAGAAAUCCUAUUAUAUAUGCAUAACGUUUCCGGUAUGUACUAGCGUAAGAUAUAUUCUAAAUGAAAAAAAUUAAAUGGAAAACGGAAAUGAAAAGUAAAAAAUAAACAAAACCCCAAAACCCUAAAACCCAAAAUCACCAAAGCGUGUAGUUCCGGUUGGUGUUAUCAACCGGGACUAAAGAUUCGGCCACAUGCUGCGAGCCACGUGGAAAUGUAUUAGUCCCGGUUCGUAGCAAACCGGAACUAAAUGGGGAGGGGGGGGAGGGGGUCUUUUGUCUCAAGUUAAUAGUCCCGGCAACCGAAACUAUAGCCCCGUUUUCUACUAGUGGAGGAGGGCGAGAUAAAAAAUCUACUUCCUCCAUUACUAAAUGUAAGACUUUUUAAAUAUUUUUAUUAUAAACUACGUCCAGAUGUAUAUAAACAUAUUUUAAAGUAUAUAUUUACUCAUUUUACUCUUUGUAAUAAAAUCUUUAAAAUGUUUUAUAUUUAGAAACGAAGAGAGUACUAGCAGUAAAUAUCUAAAAACAUUGUAGGCGAGCGAGAUGCAUGCAUGCAUGCAUCGUGCUUAAUGAUUUUCAAAUAAUGGAGCAAUUCAUUUCAAAGGGACAAAGAGAGGCGACCCCAGAUUCUAGUGCUGGUCGGCAAAGUAUCGUAAUACUGUUGAUGUGACAGCCUGCCUUGGCGUGCAGACUGGGGCUGCACCAACAAAUACUAGUAAUAGUAAUCAUUAAUCUUCUUUUUUGCGAAUAUACUAAACAUUAAUCAGUACGUAGCAGUAAGCACUAGUUGCGAGUACAGGAAAAGUCUCCGCAUCAGCUAUAGAUAUACAGGGAUAGUUGCUAGUAAUGUGUGCCAACUUGAUAAGCAUGACAUAAAUCAAAUACGGUAAGUGGAGUACGGCUGACGAGCUCAGUGCAGAAAACAAACGCAUCUACUACUAUUUCCUAUCUCUAUCUCCCACACGUUUAAGCUAAUAUAAUCUCUCCCUCUCUCUCUCUUUCUCUCUCUCCCAUGUCGACCUUCACCUUCCCUUGUGUAGUUGCGUGCGUGUGUGCAUACACACACCCACACACACACUGAGACCUCGAUGGUUACAGAAACCCCAAUAGCUCCCAUAAUCAAGUAGAAGUAGUAGUAGAAGAUCGACCUAAUCUGCAACUCAUGGGAGGCGCAAGAUGGUGCCUUGGUGCUGAACUCUGGACGCCCAAGGUCAAGGUACACUCCUCGGCCUCCUGUUCGUCGCAGCACCGGCUACUCCGACAAGACACGCCGUCCGCCGGUGCCCCUCCAGCCGAGGCGGCGGCCGUCCAAGUAGAAGUAGUCAAAGAGCAAGACGAAGGGGAAGAGCACAGGAGCCAGCAGAGGGAGGUGUUCACCAUCUGGAUGAAGUCGCUGGUGCUCAACGGGAGCGGCUGCACGGUCUUCGACUCCCGCGGGCGCAUCGUGUACCGCGUGGACAACUACGGCUCCCACCGGUCCGUGGACGUGUGCCUCAUGGACAUCACGGGGAGCGUGGUGCUCCAGGUCCUCAAGAAGUUCAGGAGGUGGGAGGGGUACAGGUGCGGCGGGUGGGAGGCCGAGCCGCCCGAGCGCGCCCGCGCCGCCGACACGCCGCGGCGGCGGCCGUGGUUCACGGUGGUGAGCAACAAGUGGGGCAGCGGCCCGCGCUGCGAGUUCAGGAGCGACGGCCACGCGGUGCGCUACAAGAUGGACGGAGGCAGGCGGCGGCAGCAGGCGGCGCGCGCCUCCUGGAUCGUGGACGACGCCACCGGGCUGGCCGUGGCGGAGGUGAAGAGGAAGCUGACGGCGACGGGGGUUUCCCUCGGCGAGGACGUGCUCACGCUGGUGGUCGAGCCCAACGUGGACCACUCGCUCAUCAUGGGGCUCCUUGUCGUGCAUGGCCUCAUAAACCACUCCAUGUGAGCAUUCGAUCGCAUCGUACGAGCUAGCAGGGACAGGGUGUGAUUUUCUUGUGAGAUGCAUGCAUGCUCAGAUUCAUCCUGCUGCUGCAGAGUGUAAUUUCUUUUUCUUGCAUUGUUGUUGUUUCUUUCUUCUUUCUUUGGAAACCUUGUGGCGUGAUUUGCUUAGGCGUGAUCGAUUUAAGGUUAGAAAGAAUAAGUUUAUGUUCCAUCGAUCAUGUCCCGUACGGCCGUACGUAUGGAAGGGAGGAAGGAAGGAGAAGGAGGCCACCGUUCCAUCCACGGAGGCAGGCGGUUAGGCCUGGGGGCUACGCGAGGAAGAAGACGCUGGAGAUUGUAGAUGAACAGUUCCUUGAUCUAUUUUCAACUGUUGGUUGCUAAUCUGCGUGAAACUCACCGAAAUGGUUGUCUUCUUCUUUUGGGCCGAAAAUGCACCUGACCUGGCAUGAGAGGAAGACUUGCGAGCUGCUUCAUGCAGCCAGCAGCCAUGGCAGAAUCGUGUUGGCGAAAAAAAAGGGGCAAAAAAGCCGUUACAAACACGCCCAUAAGACUACCAUCGUCGAACAUGACAGCAUACGACUUGGUUACCAAUGAGAAGAGAGCAUUGGCCACGGUUCUCCACAAGUGUCGUCGUCAUUGCUCAUCGUCUUGUAUCCAGCUACUUCAACUUUACAAUAGACAUUUAUAGAAAUGAGUGUAUGUACGUGUUUGUAAGCGUCGACAUCUGCAUUAUUGUGUUUUAAUUUCAAGAAAAAAAAUAGGAGAAACACAACGUCGUAUUCUUCGGUCCAUGAUUAUAUGAGACGUGCAGAUCCAUCCACUUGAAUGAUCUCAUCCACUUGAUCAUCUACAUAAAUGUCAGCAUGUCCGGAAAAAAAAAUCUCAUUUUUAAGAUUUUUUUUCUUUUGCAAAGACUCGGAAAAUCAGUGGACAGAGAAAAGAUACUGCACGUGUCCCCCGGUGUAUGAAAAUAUUUUACAAAAGAUGAUAGUAACACACAAUGAAUCAUCAUAAAAGUUAUGCAAGCCGAUUUGGAUGAAACGGCCAAACUUAAAUGUAUGGUUUUCUUUUGACAAACUGAAGAAAUGAAAAUUUAUUUCAUGCCCACAAUCCAAAGUGAAUUAUCAAAACAAAAUGAAUCCUACAUAAACUGAAAGUCCAAGAAUAUACACUAAGAAUUGUUUACUGGCGCUAGAAAGAAAAUGGAAGAACUCUCUUGGAUUAAAGUUUUCAAGGAAAGCUCCGAGUUGAAGAUCCACCAUUAGAAAUCAGAAAUUUUCAAAAGAAAAAAAUAAAAAAAAAUCCGCUAGCACCUGCAGAGUUCUGGUUCAUACAAUUCUCCUGGUAGCGUGAUUACACACGCAGGCAGGGUCGAAAGGAAACAAGCACCUCCAAUAAUGGCAGAUAUUGAAUCGUCAAAAACGAUUACGACACCAAGUAUGGAAAUGCACUAGUCCUACAUUACUCUUGACCCAGUAGCGUGAUCCUGCACGCAGGCACCAGUACGCGCAAAAUAAAACAAUCACCUCCAGUACUGACAAAAAGGAAAAAAUCUGGCCAGGGCAAGGCUCAAAACAUCAAAGAUGAUCAUGAGACCAAGUUGUAAAUUAUUCUGGUUAUAAUAAGAUAAAAUGAAUAUUUCCUUAACUGACAACAAUAAUAAGUUAAUUGACCUGACCUGAUGCUCAUUCAUACUGUACACUUGAUCAGGCUCUACAACUCGCGAUCCAAACCAAGGUUUUAAAUUGCCGGCUAUUGGAUUUAACGCGUGACUUUUCCAUUGAGCUAUUUGGGGCUAUAGCUGGGCUAUUUAAGGCUAUAGCGAGCUAUAGCGGUAAGAUUAUGAAGGAAAGCAAAAUAGCUGGACACUGCAGAAAGAGCAAUACUGAUAAUAGCCGGCAAUUUAAAACCCUGAUCCAAACCAAGAUUCUCAAUAAUAACAGGCCGAAAACGACUGACAGCCUGACCCGAGCCAAGCAUGAUGGAGCUACAAAUAAAAAUCUAUCUCAUUUGGAUGGUGAUGUGCCUGGAGCAGGCCAUGUCAGCUGUGCUGUUGUUGAGCUACCACAAGCAUCAAGGCAUCAACCAGAUUUGCAUCCCUCCGUUGCUGUUGCUCUCAGUAUGACGGUCCCUUAUUUUCAUCUGAUGAAUACUAGCAGCAGAUGCCUACACUUCUUUGUACUGUAGCCCCCCUCCAAUAGCAGCCAUUGCUCAUGUAUGUACAUGCUUUCAACAUCGCUACAUAAAGUAGCUUAGCAUUGUCUUUUUCCUCAACCCACCUUCUCCAUACAGAUCAUUCCAUUGAACAAGCUCAUUCAUAUUCGUUGAAUCGGAAGAUACACUUGCACAAACCUACAAGCAAGUGACAUACAAGGUCAGGAGAUUCGUGUAUCAGGCAACGUAAUUUCUUGCUAUCAGGGUUCAAAAAUCCCAGCCACACCACUUCUACAGGGAUUAUCUUCAUUACAUGUUGUUCCGGUUAGAAACUAAAUAUGGAUCAGUUUAUGUGUUCGUACAUACUCCUCCGUUCAUAAAUAUAAGUAUUCUAAGAGAUUACACUAUAAACUACAUACAGAUUUAUAUAUACAUAUUUUAUAGUAUAGAUUCACUCAUUUUGCUCCGUAUAUAGUACGAAUUGAAAUCUUUACAAAAAUCAAACAGGACAACAACACACACAGGCAACCGAGAGAGAGAGGAGGACUCCUUGUAUCGCUCCCUCGAGGGCGAUCACGGAGCCAACCCCAGCGCCCCGGCCGCCGCCCUUCCCCCCAUCUCAUCCACCUCGUCGUCCCUAGAGACGUGCGCCGGCUAAGCCCGGGUGCCGCCGGUGAUGGGGACGACGGGGAUCUAGCCUGCAGCCCUACGGUCUGGAGGGACCGGCGGCGCGAGAUCACCCUUUCGUCUUCGUCUUUCCCGGCGGUUUGGCGCUGCUCCGGCGACUUUGUGGGGAGGACGGAUCAGGAGGGAUGUGGCCAUAGUUGACUAGUCGACAACGCCACCGGUCAGAUCUGGUAUGGCAGGUGCCGCUGGCGGAGUCCAAUGAAAAACUGCUUUGAGUCUAGUUAUAUAUCAGAGAGUGAGAUUUUUUUUUUCCUCUUCUAUGCUCUGAUGAGGAAUCUUGACGUAAUAAUUUUAAUUCUACUCAUCUUCUCACUCAAAAAAUAUUUAUGAUCACACAGAUAUUUUUGAAAUCUAUAUGAUGUCGAUGUGACGGAGUUCUGACUUGGUGCCUCCUACUGUGUUGAUUUUAUUCUAGGGAGUUGAGCUCCAGGGGAUUCUUGAGCACAUCGUUAUCAUUCAGAUUUCUUUGUAUCUUGGGACGGAAGAUGUUCGAAAUUGCUUCAAUACUAGUAGUGGCGAGAUAAGCUCGGCAUCCCCAGUACUGGUGCAGAGAGUUCGGGGGUACCGCCAUACUUAGUAUCAUUGUGAUUACGAGGGUCUGAGAUAGAUGAGUUUCCGAUAUCUCUGGUUAUGUGUUGACGGAUGUGAUACACUAGACGGGUAGUGUUAUUGAUAGGAGUUGAGUGAUGGAUUUUACUCCUUCUAUCCGUGGACCCAAUUGCAUGACAAAAAAAAAAUCAGAAGUUUUUAGGUGAGAAUUCAAGUAGUUACUUGUAGGAUAAUCUUCCAAAAAAUGCAUGAUGUGAGGUUGGGGUUCGACAUCUAGUAGAUUCGUUUGUUCACGGUCGUCUUACAGCGGUUCUCGUUGUGUCUUAAAGAGUCCUAGUAACUUGCUACGACUCGGGGACGCUUCGUAUGUCGUGUGCACUGUCUUGUACAUGGUGGCUACUCUAGGAUAGAGACCGUGCGAUCCUAUCCACGAAAAUAUCGAGUGAAAUCUCUGUCAUAAAUUUGUUCCAACUUGUGUCGUAAGCCUCAUCAUUUGUUUUUGUUGGGUAUGGUAAUUCGAGUUGCUUCGAUGUCAAGUGGUGAAUUCAUAUCUUUCCGUGAGGUGUUCUCAUAUUUUAUGGGAAUGCAAAUUCUUUUGCUCAUUCAAGUUGUCAUAUCAAUUCUUUUCAACCAGAAUCAUCAUGUCAAUUAUUUUCAUCCGGUGUGCUUCUCUUCAAGUCAAUUCAAUCCUCUCCAUUUUUGCAAGAUCAUUCUCUCAUUUCUUUCCGGAUUUCAUUUCAUCUGUCCCAAGUUGUCUUUGUUUUUCCCCGCCCUCCCGCCCUUUUCUGCAAUGAUUAGAUUAUCAUCCUAGUGCCUUCCUUUUCAGUGUUUCUUCCGCUAUCUUAUCUUCUGUGUUGUUUCCGGUGAUUCUUGGUGAAGAUUCUCGGGAGUUUUUAGUUCAUUUUUUUCAUUCUUGUUCUCUUUUUCGGUGAAUUCAAUUCAAGAUCACUGUGUUCAUCAUAUCUUUUUCAUCCUUUAAAUUCUUUCCCAUGUUGAAAAUUCUUAUUCAAGUAUUUCUUGUUGUCAUCUCUCUCUAUUCGAUCCGGUGUGUUGAAGAUUCUCAGAAGUUCCUUGUUUUCAAUCCUUUCAAUUAUUUCGAGGUUCUCUCCUCAUCAAGUUUUCUUUAUACUGGUGCAAUAUCUCUCUUCCUAAGCAAUUAUUUCAACGGUGUUUUCUUUGAGUGGGCCCAUAACCCACAGGAUUUUCCCAUGAUCUUACCUGACUCUUCUAAUCUUUUCCGGAGAUCUCUUAAUCUUUUCAAGUGUAACGUAAGAAUGAUUUCAUCAGUGAUAUUCCUUCUCCAAGAUUGCUUCAAAAUUAAUUCACGUCUUUGGCUCAACCUUUCAUUCUUCGUUAUUCCAGAGUGUCUCGCUAUUCUUGGUGGUGUUCUCCUCAUCAUUUUCAGCUUGGAAGACCGAAGGAGUGUUUCUCUCAAAUCUUGGUCCAUUUUCCUGAAGAUUCAUCAUUUCAGCUUUGUGUUAUCAUCUUGAAUUGUUUCCAAUCAUGAGUAAUCCCUUUCUUGCUAUCCGGUGCAUUUCGGAUUUGUUUUCAAUCUCGAUCCUCAGAAGGCCAUCAUUUCAGAAAAUUUCUUCGUUCUUAGCUUUCAACUUUCAUUCUCAAAUUCUUCUCAAUUGUUGUCUCUUUGUUCGUCUCUCAAUUAUUCCGGUGCCUUGUUUAAGUUUUCUGUUAGGCGGCUCAAGAUCUCUUCAUUCUCAAGGUGUUCUUCAAGAUUCUUGUGGGAGAACUUCAAGUAUUCUUUCUUGCAUUUCAAAGUGCAAUUCUUCCUCCUUUAUCCUUUGAGGUGGUGUUAAUAGCAUUCUUGUUGUUAGUGGAGGAGUCUCUAAGCGAAGUUGUUUCAAGAAUGAAAUAUGUAAUCCCACCAAAUCCUUUGCUCAUGAAAUAUUUUUAACCCAUGGUUUUUUUCAUGGAGUUAUCUGGAUUUAGAUAUCACCUAAAACUUUUCCUAAGGAUUGUUGCUAUUAUGGUGAUUAUCAUUGAUCCAAGUCCUCUAUGUAUCCUCUUGGUGAUAGAAGCUUGCCUCUCUUGUUACUCCCAAGUAAUCAAUUGUUUUCCAAUUGUGGUUGGUUGUCUCCUCAUUUUGAGAUGGUUUCGUAAGCCCACUACAAGCUUGUUCAUUUCGUUGUUGGUUUUCCAAUAACUCCGCUCAAUCCUUAUUGCAAGGCUACUUGUAAAAUUCAAUUGUGAUAGUAGUUAUCAUUCUCUUCUUCAUUCUUUCUUUCCAAUGAUCUAGUUUCGAUUCUAUUGUUCCGGAGUUGUUGUUUCGAUUCUUUUAUCUAUUUUGUCAAGAUUGUGUUCUUUCCUUUCUUAUUCAUUUAACAGGAGUGUUGUGUCUUCUUUCGUGUUUUCCCUUGCUUAUCAAUUAGUUGGUUUAUUGUGAAUCUUGUCAAGAUCUUUCCAUCUUAUCAAAUUUUGCCCUCAUUCCUACCGAAGUGCUGCAAAAAAUUUGUGUGAAUUCUUGCUUGUUUCACAUAUCAUUCUUCAUCUCUUUGCAACCUUCAUGGAUCUUGGUUUCACUCGUUUGUCAAAGAAGCGACUAAAUUUUACCUCUUGCUAUUUCUCGUUCUCUUCCCCCUUUCAUUCUUAGAUCUCGGGGCAAGAUCUCUUGUUAGUGUAGGAGACUUGUGACAGCCCGAGACCGACGCUCCAAAAGAUUCCCCUUUUGCUUCGUUGUCGUCGUGUGAUUUAAUUGUUUGUCGCACUCAUCAUCGCAUCAUCCGCAUUGCAUCGGCACUCCGUUGUCGUCUGUUUUCAACAUCCGUUAUUAGUUGUUGGUUCUCUCCGUUUUUGUCGUUGACCGUUUUAAGACCAACCACACAGGCACGCGCCCGCGGCAUCGAUAAUAUCUUGUUUUUAAAAGUGCAUACAAAAUAUUCUCGGAUUGGGUUGAAACUUGGCGUACGGUCUUAUUUUAGUGUAGGUAGGCCGCCUGCCAAAUUUCGUCGCAAUAGGAGUCCGUUUGAUAUCCGAACAGUCGACCGUAGCGGCACCGUCAUCGGUGUAUCGUCACACGUUUUUCGGUGCUUAAAAUUCUCGUUGCCGGGCCGCAACUUCCCUCUCUUCCCCACAUAGACUAUUCUACACAGCCACAAAGCCCACCUAACCAUCCCCACGUACGGAGCCGUCCGAUCAAGAUCGUACGGUUCAAAAACGGGUUAAAUUAGCUAACCCUAGCUACCCCUGCUAUAUAUAGCCACCCCCCAUGUCUCGGGAUCCGCGCCCCUUAACCCUAAUAGCCAACACCCAGCCCCCCUCUCUCUCCUCUCAGCCGCCGGCCCAUCGGACCGAGAUCCGUCCCACCCAGGCCGAUCCGGGCCGAGCACAGCUCCAGCUCGCCCUCCUCCUCUCGGGCAGGAGCAGCAGCCAUGCUGCUCUUCUCCGCGUCGAGCACAACCGUCGGCAGCUCCCCGCGCCAUCGCGUCAGCCGGCCACCGGAGCUGCAGCAGACCCGUCCCCAGCUCACCGACCAGGACGCCGCCCUACGCCGCCCCUCUCCUUCCUUCUCUUCCUCCUCUCUCUCUUUUCUACAAGAGGAGCCCGCAGCUGCAGAAGCCCCGCCGCCAUGGCUCGCCGCCGGCCACGAGAGCCCGAGCCCGCUAGAUCUGGUCGGGUUCGAGACCCUCCCUCGGUGCCGGUCUGCUAUACCUCGCCUGAUCACACCCGUCGGCCUCCUGCGACGGUUGUGUGGGACGAGGCCGAGCAUCCGCUCGCCAUCCAUGUUCGCCCUCCUGUCGCCCGCGUGGGCCGAGGCCCAGCCUCGCGCCAGGCCUGCUUCGCAGCGCCGGCCCAGCAGCGCUCCAGCCGGCUUGCUAGCCCCGAUCCAUCCCAAUCGGCCCGAGGUGAGAACCCCCCUAUGCCUACCUUAUGUUGCGCAGUGGGCGCUAGAUAGUCAUGUUGCGCCUGCAGAUUCGGCCCGUUAAAUUUUUUUAGGUUUUGCGAAGUUAGUAUUUUCAGAAAAACGCAUAUUUUUAAAACGCCUGUAGUUUUUAAACCGUGCAUCGGAUCGUGACAAAUUAUAUUUGUAAAGUGUUUAGAAUUUCGCGUAGAAUAAUAUUUUCCAACUCUUAUGCAUAUGUAAAACUGUUUAGCGUGUUGUUUGCAUUGGUUUGCGUGUCGACGUGAUAAAAAUGGUUUUGUUCGUAGUUAAUUAACCGUAGCUCCGUUGGAGAUGAGUCAUAUAUAUAAAUGGCUAGAACGACGAGUAGAAUCACUUGAACCACUUUGUUUGCCGUUUAACAAACCUAAAAUGAGAUUAGGACAAAUCUGGAUAGAUUUAGAAAGUAACGCAUGGGGUGGGUUCGGAGAUGUUAUAUAUCGUUUCUGGCCUCAUUUAAAAUGUCUAGAUAGGUAGUUUAUUUGCGCUUCACCCCUUGCCAUGUUUAACAACAUUUAAUAUUGACGUAUGCCUAAACUGGAGUGAACUAAAUAAUUUGUAUGUGGAGUUUCGUCAAUAUGCAACUCGUUGCAUAUUGAGCUUCACUUAAUGUGUAGUGUUUGAUUGUUGUGAUUGACAUGCCGUGCCUUGCAUAAUUUAAGCGAGCAUGCAUCAUAUGUGUUGUGCAUCAUGUCGUGUGUUUGUCGUGGUGAAUAUCGUGUGUUGAUUCUUGUUUCUGUUUUGCUUUGUCUCGAUAGAGUCCGAACCGCUUCGGAGUGUGAGGAUCCGUGCGACUAUGUCGGUUCGUCUGCUUCACGGAGUUCGUUCUUCUUCCAAGCGGGAUCUUAGGCAAGAUGAUCAUUUCCCUAGAUACCAUUACUAUCAUUCCAUGCUAGUCGUCUCGUUUCUUUCGUUAUGUCUCGUUGCCUACCACCUGUUAAAUGUUAGCCUCUCAACACUGACAUGAAACCUUCAACCUUUCUACAACCUAGCAAACCACUGAUUGGCUAUGCUACCGCUUGCUCAGUCUUUUGAUAGCGUUGCUAGUUGCAGGUGCAGUUGCUUCCAUGUGAAAACAUGGGUUCCUUGUUAUAUCACCAUAUUAUUGUUAAUUAAUUUAAUGCACAUAUAUACUUGGUAAAAGGUGGAAGGCUCGGCUUUCUAGCAUGUUGUUUUGUUCCACCUUUGUCGUCUUAGUAUCGGCUCCCUUUGUUAUAUUUCAUAAUUGAGCACUCCUAACACGAUCGGGGUUGUUAUAGGGACCCCUUGAUAGUCCGUCUUAAAUUAAAACUGGUCUGGCAAGGCCCAACUUUGGUAUUAUGUUUGCCUAAUUAACUAAUGAACCGCAUAGGGUUUGAUCGCCCUGUGGAUAAUUAAUCAACCCCGGGCCAGUGCUCCGCAUGAGUGUUGGUCCAAACUGGCAAACUACAGGGCCACCGCGGGGCAACCCGAGGUUUGGUUUUACUCCUAGUGUGACCCAUCCGUCGUGUCCUGAGAACGAGAUACGCGGCUCCUAUCAGGUUCGUCGACAUGUUGGGCGGCCUUGCUGGAUUAGUUUUACCUUUGACGAAAUAUCUUAUGCAUCGGGAUUCCGGUGAUGCUUUGGGCUAUCUCAAAGUUGAGGUUUUUCACUAAGAAAUCCGGGGAUUUCUAUGCGGCUUGUGGUAAUUUGUGAUGGACUAGUUAGAGCAUCCCUGCAGGGUUAAAUCUUUCGAAAAGUCGUGCACGCGAUCAUGUGGCAACGUGGAAACUUUGUUUAACAUCCGGUUCUAGAUGACCUGAACUAAAACUUGCCAACUGAGUGCGUAACCGUGAUCGUCUCUUUCGUGAGCUCCUUCUCCGAUCGAGGACACGAUGGGGUUAUGCAUGACAUAAGUAGAUGUUCAGGAUCAUUUAUUUGAUCAUCAGUAGCUCAUGGCCGCUAUGUGUAGAUCUUUCCCCUCUUUUAUUCUUGUAUUCGUAAGUUAGCCACCUCAAAUAAAUGCUUAAUCGUAUGUUACAGCCUCACCACUUAAUCAUACCUCACCCAUUAAGCUUUGUUAGUCUUGAUAUCUUUGGAAAUGAGAUUGUUGAGUCCAUGUGACUCACAUAUUACUACAACACCAGUUGCAGGUACGGGUAAAGAGUUACUUUGACGUGAGCGCGCUGAUUGUGCUAUUUGGAGUUUCUUCUUCUUCGUCGUCGAUCUAGGAUGGGGUCCGGGCCGGCAGCCUAGGAUAGCAAGGAUGGACGUCGUUAUUUUAUCGUUUGUUUUCAUCCGUAGACUGACCCUACUCUUCUUCAUGGUGACUGGAUAUGCUGAAUUGAUGCGAUUUUAAUGUAGCUUGUGGCGAGUGUAAGCCAACUUCUUAUACUCAUCUUUUCAGUAUAUGUACUUGUAACGACGAGAUGUGUUUCUAUCCCUGUCAAGGUUCUCGCGCCAAAAUAAGGAUAGGACCGUAUCUUAGCCGGACGAAGAACACUUACCGGACUUGUGUGUACAGGAUGACACACAACCCAUUAUACCAAGAGAGACUUGUGACAACAUGGAAGGAAAAGAUGUGAAGGAGGACCCGGCUGUGACGAGGGUAUGCACGUACAGCGCUGAAGAUGCAGAUAUGUGUGACAAGCAGCAUGCUCGCCCAGGUACACCGAUGCAAACUGCGCCGGCCAUGGCAGGCUCGGAAUAUGAGCAGAGGGCUCACUUGGUCAAGCCGGCUUCACCAUCUUCAUGUGAUCAGGUUCAGGUUCAGACCUAGUUGGAGUUUGUGCAUGAGCAGGAGGCUCCUCUGGCUAGACCAACAACGCAAUCGCAGGUUUCACCAGCUUCUAAACGUCAUGCUGCUGAAACACCACAGCGUAAAUGAACCUGCAAGGGGGUUGCACAAGCAGAGAUACAGAAGAAGGAGGAUGGUACAGGUGGGAGUAUGACAGAUGGUCAAAUCCCAACAGGUAUCACCAUGAAGGAGAUCAUCACAUUCGGUGGCAUUCCAGAUCCCAACACUGGUGACAGGCGUGUGAGUCACCGUAUUCAGGGAUAGGCGGAUACCGAUGACUUGCAGAUUGGCCGUGUUAUGGGAGCCGCCAAACUUCGAAAUGUCGAAGCAACUACAGGUCAUCUACGGAGUUACAACUUGAAUCUAUAUGUGAUCCUUACUCAUCCAUGUGAAGUCCAGAGAGUUUUUGGUUACUGGAUACAGUCGGUGAGAGAUGGCAGCAAAGGCUAUCUACAACCGAUAUGGAUGACAAUACACUAAUAGAUCAUCGUAGUCUAUUUUUAUCUGGACGAAUGGGCCAUGUAAUCUUCCCUUUUUUUCGAGCUCUUAAGCUCUAGCUGGAUAAUGCACUUGUUUGGAACUUCUUAUUUUAAUAAAUGGCUGCAUGCAUCAUCAUGGUGCAGAGGCCGGGGAUAAUCCUCCUUUUAAGAAAAAAAGAAGUGGGGCACAUCAGCCUCCUAUUUUGACCAGAAUAGGCAUCGAUAGCGAAGAAUGUGUGGGAAAUCCGUUGGGCACCACCCAUUGCCCAGUCUUCACGGAUGCGGGCUCCAAAAAAAUUAAGCGGAUGAACAGGAGAAGAAAAUAUGGUUGAUGCCUUCUGCAACCUCGCAGAUAGGACAUUGUCCAUCACAUGGUCCAGGCCGCUUCAACACUUAUCACCAAAGGGCAAAAGACCAUGCAUAAUCUACCAAAGAAAACAAAUAUCCUCCUCCAUGGUCACCAUUUGGGGUUUGGCCAUGAUCUCCCAUUACAAGGAGUGAUGUAUCUUCUCAUUGUGUCAAUUACAUCCCACAUGAGCAAAACUGAGGCUAAUUUAACAAUCAGAACUUAGGAUGACAUAAGAUAAUGUCUCCUGCAAACAACCUGACCUCCAGGAUUUGAUUGUACUGCUCCAACUUCUGGAUCAUUGGGAUAGAGUCAACACCGAAUAUAUCUUGCAGGUAUGCCAACCUCGGUUGUGCAGUCUAGAGAAUAUGAAAUACAAUAUUGCUGGUUGAUAAGAAAAUAAAUACAACUUACCAAUCUAGAAAGGAUAAACAAAGCAAAGGCACCGAUCACUAUAGUUUGAAAAUGCAGGGCAAGUUCAAACAUGCCAUUCAGACAUCAUAAUACCUCGUAAAUCAUAAUUUAAACGUACUAUCAAGUUGAUGCCAACUGAAUGAGUAGCAUUAUUAAAAGGUUACAUGUUGUUGGUAACAUUGUACAUAGACAUAUAAUCGGAAAAUAGCAAAAAUGUAGUGCCUUAUUUCAUCACACGGACAGCAAACGAGGAAAGGACACACAGACCAUAAUUGAACACUAGUGAACCACACCGGAACACAAACGGAAGACGGAUAGGUAGGCUUCCCGCAUGCCACGACAUUCAAACAGUACGGCAACCUAGCGCGAAGUAAUAUGACUUAUAAAUCUGACCUGCUUUCCAAAACAAGAAACAAGAAACAGACAACAGAAUAAGAUAUCCAUCUAUGCAUUGUAUAGGAUAAUUUCAAUAAAUCAAUAAGUGAUCGAUUUGCAGUUACCCAUGAUCAGCAGCCGGUAUCUGAUCCUCCGACUUUCGGGGAACAUAAAAGGCGUAUACAUUCGUCAACUCUGCAUCUGCUCCACGGGUAUUACCAUUUGUAAGAAGGAUCCUUCUAAGAUGGUAAUCCCCGAUCCCACGGUGGGCCAUGAGCAGCCAGGCGAAUGUGAUUAGCUCCCCGCCUUCACUCAGCUGCGCCGCGUGCAUCUCCGCCUUCGACUUGCCAGCAGUGUAGAGGAGUAACCUCACCCACAGGCGUGCUACCUCCUCCAGUGUUUCUUUGGUUGCCUCCAAUUCAAAGUCCUCCAUGAGCUUUGUGACAUGUUUAAGUCGUUCAGGUUCCUGGAAGUGAUCCAGGGUAGCUGUGGCGCUGAUAGACAGCGGCAGCAUGGAAGGGUUGGUGACCAAAAGGUACAUCAUGUAGUUAGAGAGUUUCCGCCAUACCUCCACCAGACCAGAAGGUACAUCUGCCCCUGUAGCAUUUGCCUCCAUGUCCUCGCUAGGGGAAGCAGGUUUUUCUAAGAGUGUCUCCGUGACGUAGUGCAUGAAGACGAUGCCAUAACCAAAGUCUCGAAUAAUUCCAUCUUGCGCAUUGCCAAACAGUGGGCUAAUGUUUGGCCAUUCUUGUCGUGCUUGACCAUCGUCAAAUUCAUGUAGUAGCAGACUAAGCCCUUUUGCUACACAUUUCACAAUCAUUUCAUCCACAUCCGUGUACUUGGUGUCCAAUAGAUUGCUUAUCCAAAACAUUUUCUUCUCGUUAACACUGAGCAAACCCACAAACAGCUUUCUGAAGACGACCAUUAUUUGCCGAUUACAUGUACUUCGAUGCACGUCGCUGUCAGUCAACCAGCCAUGGAAGUUGUACUGCCCAAUCAAAUUCGGCCACCGUUGUUUCAUCCUCGGGUAUCCGAUGUCAGGGCAAAACACAAACCAUGACAACCUGGCAAGUAUAUCACACUUUUGAACCUUCAACCAUGCCCAUGUCCAUGGCGACGUCAUGGAAAUAAACAUUGAGCAGACUUCCAAGAAAAAGCACCCGACGAAUAGUGCAUAGGUGAUUGCAAUGUCAGCUUUGCUAUACCUCUGUUUGUCGUCUGGAUGGAAGAGCGCAAAAGCAGCAAUAACCGAGGCCUGGGAGAUGCAUCUAAGUAUAACUCCACCCCAAGUCCUGAGCACAAGAGCCUUAGUGUAGAGGUCGUCGUAUAUUAUGCCAGGCUGAAACCUCACCGUCUUAAUCAUUUCGUCGGAAUCAACUUCUGUCUUUACCAAUUCGUCUGACGAUGGAUCAAUCAUGCUGCGCUCCAAUAAGACAUCAAGGGCGCGUGGCAUGGAAUUGAGAGCGGCGCCAACAAAGCCAGCGUCGCCGGUGAUUCCUUCGGGCAAUUGUUUUCUGCUCUGUUGCCCAAUUGAGCUCUCCAGACUUUUAAGACGGGCACACUUGAGAGACCAUAUUCUUUCUCCAUACUUGAUAAUUCCGGCAAUAAACGCAAAGAUGCCUGAAAGUAAAAGAUUGGCACUGUGUCUUCCAAUGGACUUCCGGAAUACAUAUAAAGCUAGUGCGAUUUGGGUCAGCAGAUUCAAGAGAUGCCUCAACCACAAGUUGUUAUCCUCCAUGGCGAAAGCAGUAAUGGUGUCCUGCCCACCAAGAUGGACGAGGAGAAAUGGUGCCCAGAAGAAAGCCAGCUGUUCGGUUCUUCUUAGCCUUUCAAUGUUGUUAUCCUGAUGACGUGACAGGUAGCCGAGUGCAUAAACUGCUGCCAGGUCUGCCCCCAAGUAAGCAGCCCAAAGGGAGAGCCGUAGGAGCCUGUUGCCGCUACACCGCCGGAGCCUGCCAGCGAAGAAGAGGAACAACUGCAGUGUGAAGCUAAGGAGCACGAGUAGCUGUAUUUCCCACUCAUUAUAUAGUCUGAUCAAAUGCUCCAGCGCAUGUAUGCUCGAUUUCCUGGUGGAUACAUUAUAUGUAAAAUAAUUCAGUGUGUUUUGUCCAAAAAAUAGCAAAAGAUCCUUAGCUUUCAAAUAGAAUUCGUCUCCACUUUAGGCAUGUUCAACGAAAAAGUAUUCAGUGCCUGGUUUGUGACAUCAUUUUGCCCCUGGCUAGCUAGGCCCUAUAUUAGCAGUAAACCAUACAUACAAAAAUGUAGUAGUUUUUCUGGAAGUUCUAUCAAAACGAGACGGAAUUAUAUUACAAGGAAUCUGUUUUGCAUUGAGCCCACUCAUGUAGAGUGAAUUUGUGGAUUGGCUGACGGCUAGAGUGAAUGAGAGUGGAUUUUUAGCUCCCGGGUGCCUAGGCACCCUCUAUGAACAGUAAAAUCAAAAGAAAUAGAAAACAAAAUAAGAAAAAUCUGAAACUUUGCAGCAUCAAAGAUGAUGAAAUUUUGUAUGUGUUUACAAGUUUUCAUGCCAAAAAACUAUUCGAGGAGCUCUACACACGAAAAAUAUUUCAAUGCUUGAAGUUUUGAGCACUUUUAGCACUGUAAUCUGAAACUUGUUUGUACAUCUUUCUCUACAUGAUAUUUUGACAUGAAAACUUGUAGGAACCUACAAAGUUUGAUCAUCGUUGAUGCUGCAAAGUUUCAGAUAUUUUUGAUUUUUUUUUCUAUUUUUUUUUACUGUUCAUAGAGGGUGCCUUUUGUUUUCGUGGAUUGGCUGACGGCUAGAGUGAAUUUGUUGCCGGCAGCGCCAGCUUCGAGCAGAAUGCCGGCAGUGACAACCGGGCGAAGGGUCUCUGCAAGAUAGACCAGAGCACUGUGGUUCUCCACACAAGCCAAACGAUGCCCGCCAUCAUGGGGACCAAAGCUUCCGAGCCUGAGAGGCUGAGAACCACGCUGACGAGAAUGGCGCAGACAUCUAUGAGCUUCACAGUGCCAAAGCUAUGUCUAGAGCGCCCAGCCACGAGCUCAAGCCAUUCUAGAGUGCCUAAUUAAUUCGUGCAUAUUGCAGGGGGGAAUUGGCAUAUAAGAUAACCCAGUUUGCGUAUUCGGGUUAAAAAAGAAACAAGGAAAUUUGAAAAUCCUUAUAAGCUCUGUUUUGGGAGCUUAUCUUCCUCAAGACAUCUUGAGUCUAGAGGAGCUGCAGGGUAGAUAUAUUUUUAAGCUUACAUACAAAUUGGAAGAAAAGAUGGACUAUCAAAGAUCCUUCUCCAAUAGCACCAACAAAGAGGGCUUGAAGAAAGCGAUUGUCUAAUCUCUACUUGGGCAGAAAUCCAAUCUAGAAAAACCAAAGUUGAACAAAUUUAGAAUACAUAGGGGGAAAAGGAUGGAGAUUUGAACUCCAGUUAAGUCAAACAAACCUUCACAAACAAACUUGGAGUUCUAUUGCAAGGUUGCUGUCUCUAAUUUUCAAACUAGAUAUAUGCACACACUAUUACAGAUAGGUACUACAUAGACAAGAAAGGAAGGUGUCAUACCUCAAGCAGAUUGUGGCUGUGCUCAACUGCCAGAGAAGCGAUGGUGUAGCUGAAUACAGGAUCAGGCAACAACGUUAUCUUGAAGACUCCAAGGGCAUGAUGUUUAUGAAGAACUCCUGUGUUGAUCUCGGGUUUGCAGCUGUGUUUAAUUACACUGGUCGGUUAAGGACCAGCUCAUUGAUUAAACGACUCGACCAUUAGUUGCAGAAGAUAAGUUUGUCAACUCAAAUGAAGUAUAUGGACCAAGUGGCGAGUGAUCAAAACUUGAUACGAACCCCAAAAAACAAUGUGUAUGGGGGCGCCCCUCGAUGUAAAUGAUUAACAUAAACAAUUCAUUAGACAUGUGACAGCGCCAUAGUUACCGCUAACCACAUGUGUGUGCAAUUGUACAUACCGAAUUUGUAUGUCCUUUGGUUGCAGCUCGCUGCCAUGCAUCGGGCUCCCAGUGCAAGACUGACCUGGAUAGUUCUAAAGAGAGUUGGUCUCGUACGUUUCUGGUUCCACAAAGGAAAAGAUCAAAUGUGUAAGCCAGUGCCAAAGUGAACACGAACAACUAACAAAACCAAGGAAAUGUGCAAUAAGAACAUUCCCAUCAUUUCGUGCAGUGAAGGAAGCAAGCGCUCAGUAACACCCUUGUCUACCUGAUACGUAUAUAAUUUGACGGGUAAUUCUGUGGACAUUAAAUGGGAGGAAAAAAUAGCUCAUCACACAGCAAGAUCAAAAUGGAACUGAACAGAUGAGAUACCGUGUCGAGAUCUUUAACAUUAGAAGAAGGGUAUGGAAAUGACUUGUUGAACUGCUCUGGGUACCAAGUCCUUUAACAUGCUAUGAUUAAUCAAGGAAGAAAACUCAUGUCUCAAAGAUGUGCCAUCACUGGACUCACCGAACUGAGCUGUAGAGGAAACAACGACUUAAGAACCAUCAAGCAAUUUCGGAGAAUGUUAUUCAUUCGCUGCACCUCACAAUCAGUAAGAGACUCAAGAUUCACAUAAAGUGUGGCCCAUUUGGAAUAUUCAUGCCCCGGUGGAAAUUUUGAAAUAAAAUUCGACCAAUAAAAUUUUAACAUAGAUCAAAUCAGAAACACAAAAUCAGUAAGAGACUCAAGAUUCACAUAAAGUGUGGCCCAUUUGGAAUAUCCAUGCCCAGGUGGAAAUUUUGUCACAAAAUUCGACCAAUAAAAUUUUAACAUAGAUCAAAUCAGAAACACAAAAGUUCUAUUUUGGAGGAAAUCUGGUAGGUGGACAUCUGAAUUGCAGACUUUCACAACAUGGCACACAGAGCGCACCAAUCAGUCCCGAAAGGUGGUGUGUUUUGUUCGUGAUUUUCAUCACUGUCCAUCCAAAUUCAAAACAAUGCAUACAAGAAAAUAUAGAUAGUAAACAACAGAAUCAAGAACAAAAACAAGAGCGGACGAGAUAUCUAAAGAAGUUUGAAGGUAUUCGCAAAAAUUACACACUUAAGAAAAGAGGAUGCAAAAAUGACAAUCAAAAGCUGUUCAAUGUUUAAUUUGGCCUUAGAAUUGCAGAAUGACAGCAUGGGCGCACAGCGACCAAUCAGUUCCCAAAGAUGGUAUGAUUAUUAGGUUUUUCAUCACCGGAAAAACAUAAACAGAGAUAUAGAUACACAAACAUCCAGGUUGCUACAGAAUUGUAGAUUUGGCAGCAUGGCACACGAAGCACACCAAUCAGUCUUGAAAGAUGUGUGUUUUGUUCGCGUGUUUCAUCAUUGUCCAACCAAGUAACUAAACAAUAUGGAGGAAAAACAUACUCGCUCCGUCCGAAAUUACUUGACGCAAAAGUAAAUAAAAAAAUAUAUUAGAACUAAAAAACAUUUAGAUACAUCAAUUCCUUGGACAAGUAUUUCCGGACAGAGGGAGUAGUAACAAGAGCUUCAAGAACAAAAAGAAAAGGCAGACAAUAAACAACGAAAGACAGAAGAGGGAAGACACUAAACAGUGAGCUCCUCAUAUAGACAUCCAUGCAUGACAAGGGAGGCUCUUUUCUCCCUUUAUUACUUUUCUUUCUUUAAACUAACCCUCUCAGUCGAUCUCCCUAAUCUAGCUAUCCUCAGUCAGUGCCUGUGCGGUGCAUGCCUCCACACAAAUCACAAAGCUACGUAGGCGACAGGCAACCACCUAAUCAUGAAUCAUCCCGGGAGCAAAGCACAAGCAACACAUAUGCGCACAAGGAUCAAGCCUGGCAGGGCGAAAGCUCACAUGCGGCAACUGCGAAUGUUUUGAUAAACAAGCCUUAAAUUAGUCAUCACCCGGGGCAUGCAUUGAAUUAAAACCAAAUACAACAAAAGGAAAUGUAUGUCCAGCAUUGCAUCAGACAUCCAAGGAAGGAUCUGAGGUAUAUGCUCUUGGGCGCAACUGCAUAUGUUUUAAGAAACGUUCCUUGAUUUUAUCAUCAUUUGCAAUGCAGCAGCAUAACUAACAUACUGGAGUAUAUUUAAAGUGCUGAAACUCAUUCAGAAACACAACAUCGACCAGGAGAAAUAACAAGAACCGGACAUCUAAGGCUAACUGCAAAUGUUUCAAGAAAACAAACAAAAAAAAGUAGUCAUAAAAUUACCAAGUCGGCACUGGCAUCAGGACAGAACAAAGUAAACAGAUCACUUCCGAAUAUGGUGUGGGACUCAAAGCACUCAAAAUGAGCCUAAUAUUAUGGAAAUCUGAAAGUUUGGAAAUAAGCCCUAUAAACCCAAAAAGAGAAGUAGAAGAAAACGAAUGAUUAACACUCACUCUUCCACGCAUAGAGAAAAUGGUAGUGCCCAAAAGCUCCAGAUGAUUUAGAAUAAUAUAUUACUUAGACGUGACAACACUGAUGUUCCACGAACGUUUACUCGCACGGCAUAACCCCGACCACUCAAGACAAAACAAUAACCACCACAACCAAGUCUCAGAUAACGAUAGGACACGACAUAAUAACUAAGCAGCAGGCUUUGCCUGCCUCUGCAACAGAAUCGACUUGUUUAGUCAACCUCCUCAAUCUUGGGGCCAGCGCCGCCAGAAGCAGCCGGGGUGUCGUCGUCCAUGCCGCCCUCCAUGUCGGCACCAGCACCCUGGUACAUCUUAGCAAUGAUGGGGUUGCACAGGGCCUCCAGCUCCUUCAUCUUGUCCUCAAACUCGUCCGCCUCAGCAAGCUGGUUCGCGUCCAGCCACUGAAUGGCAGCAUCGAUGGCCUCCUCGAUCUUCUUCUUGUCGUCGGCCGGCAGCUUGGAGGCGAUCUUCUCAUCCUUGAUUGUGUUGCGCAUGUUGUAAGAGUAGUUCUCCAGGGCGUUCUUGGACUCCACCUUCUUCUUGUGCUCCUCGUCCUCAGAUUUGUACUUCUCAGCCUCCUGGACCAUCUUCUCAAUCUCCUCCUUGCUCAGCCUGCCCUUGUCAUUGGUGAUGGUGAUCUUGUUCUUCUGCCCGGUGGUCUUGUCCUCAGCAGACACGUUCAGGAUGCCAUUGGCAUCAAUGUCAAAGCAGACCGUGAUCUGGGGAACUCCCCUCGGUGCAGGAGGGAUGCCGGACAGCUCGAACUUGCCUAGGAGGUUGUUGUCACGGGUCCUGGUCCUCUCACCCUCGUACACCUGGAUGAGCACACCAGGCUGGUUGUCCGAGUAGGUGGAGAAGACCUGCUCCUUCUUGGUGGGGAUGGUGGUGUUCCUUGGGAUCAAGACCGUCAUCACACCCCCGGCUGUCUCCAGACCAAGGGAAAGAGGAGUGACAUCCAACAGCAGCAGGUCCUGGACCUUCUCGUUGCCCUCUCCGCUCAAGAUGGCAGCCUGGACAGCAGCUCCGUAGGCAACAGCCUCAUCAGGGUUGAUGCUCUUGCAGAGCUCCUUGCCGUUGAAGAAGUCCUGCAGAAGCUGCUGCACUCUAGGAAUCCUAGUGGAACCUCCAACAAGGACAACAUCAUGCACGGUGCUCUUGUCCAUCUUUGCAUCCCUCAGACACUUCUCCACAGGCUCCAUACACUUCCUGAAGAGAUCCAUGUUCAUCUCCUCAAACCUGGCACGGGUGAUGGUGGAGUAGAAGUCUAUGCCCUCAAACAGCGAGUCAAUCUCGAUGGUGGUCUGGGCAGUGGAGGAGAGAGUUCUUUUUGCCCUCUCACAGGAUGUCCUCAGCCUCCGAAGAGCUCUUGGGUUGCCACUGAUGUCCUUCUUGUUCUUCCUCUUAAACUCCUGGACAAAGUGGUUGACCAUCCUGUUGUCAAAGUCCUCACCACCAAGAUGAGUGUCACCAGCUGUGGCCUUGACCUCAAAGAUACCCUCCUCAAUGGUGAGAAGAGACACAUCAAAGGUACCACCUCCAAGGUCAAAGAUGAGGACAUUCUUCUCACCAACACUGGAAGCCUUCUUGUCAAGACCAUAAGCAAUGGCAGCAGCUGUUGGCUCGUUGAUGAUACGGAGGACAUUGAUGCCAGCAAUGACACCAGCAUCCUUGGUAGCCUGCCUCUGAGAAUCAUUGAAGUAUGCAGGUACAGUGACAACAGCAUUCUUCACAGUGGUGCCAAGGAAAGCUUCUGCAAUCUCACGCAUCUUAAUGAGGACCAUAGAAGAGAUCUCCUCAGCUGCAAACUGCUUCUCCUCACCCUUGUACUGGACAUUGAUCAUGGGUUUGUCACCAGGUCCAGCAACAACCUUGAAUGGCCACAGCUUAAUAUCACUCUGGACAGUAGAAUCGGUGAAUCUCCGGCCAAUGAGACGCUUGGCAUCUGCACAAAAGUUAGUGUCAGAAAUUGCAUAAACACCAAACAAAAAAGUUAACAACAACCAUUACAUGAAUAGCUCAAUCUCAUACUACUUACUUAAACUGAGGCAAAGCAGACAACAAAUGAUUAAGGGAGAAAACAUGCCACACAUAUUUAGGCUAAAAUAAAAGCAGAUGUAUUAAGAGGACCCUAUCCAAUAAUAAUCCAUCAUAAGCAAAGUUAUGUAAAUGGGUAUAUAGUAACUAGAAGCUCAUUACGAGCAGCCAGUGUCGCAAAGUUCCAUUCCCCCUCAUUUUCUGCCAUGUUUUGAGACACAGAAUCACAAAAAUUGACCAGGUGUCAGAUACCAAAUGGCAUUUAGUAAUGGACAAUGCAUUAAACAAAGCAAAAAAAAAAAAAACUGGCAUGCAAUAACAGCCGAAAGAUGGUGAUCUUGUUUAUAAUAAUCACAGUGAUUCAGCAAAUGGGAUUGUUUGCAUCACAGAUUGCAAGGCAACAAAACAGGUUCAUCACUGAAUUCAAAAAUUGUGAUCACAUGAAACAAAUCAACUAUACAAAAAGCAAUUGGAGAUCAGAUGGUAGUGCAUGUUGUAAAUUGAUCAUCACAGUGAAUGCAGAAAUGUGGUAUGGUUAUGAUAUCAUCACUUCUCCAACCAAGUCAUAUAUGACAAACAAACACCAGACAACAAGGAUAAUCUGCUAUGAACCAUCCAACAAGUACCAAAAAAAAUGGAAGAUUGAGCCGCAGAUUGUUCAGAUUGAAAACCAUGAAAGCUAUGCGCACAUUUAGCUUGCUGCCCAAUUUUGUCACAUCUACAAUUAAAGGGGCAAAAAAGGAGCAAAUCAAAGGAAUUCGCCCCAAUUCCGCUUCACAAAACUUGGUAGCAAGCUUGUAGGCCCAAAGCCAUCCAUCAUAAAUUCAGCAGAGAAGCGCUUGGAUAUUAUUUCAUCAUCAAUCUGCUAGCUCCAAAAUAAAAUAGGAACGCCAACAGAACCUAAUUCAAAAGAUGAUGCCACACAAAUUGGCAGAGAGCAACAUGCAGUUUAGAAGAAUGAUAAUCAAUGGAGUGUGCACUGCACAGUGAACAACAAGCAUAUCAACAACUAAUUGGGAUCUCAUAAACAAUAGUUGCAAUCCACAGUCCCCUAGUAGUACUUCCCAACAUAAUAAUUAAUUCAAUACUACAUUGUGUUAAAAUGUACCGCAACUACUAUGAACUAAGAGGACGUAAGGCAUAACUCGAAACAGCAAGGGACAAAACAGCAUGAACAAUGUAGAUUCAUGCUAAACCAAUUGCGCUUGGCAAGACAAAGCAAUCAAGCUCUAUAACAACAUUAAUAAUAUAGAUCUAACAUGUACCAACUGAGUCACAUGUCAAUGAAGUGUUAAACAACUCAUAGUCCAGAUCAACUAUAAACAAAUGGAUCCAAGUGGGACCAAACAAUUAACAAGAUCCAACUGCAGACAGUCAUAUAUACUAAUACCGACAGAUCUGACACCUCAAUACCAACCAGCUGACAGGACAGCAGCCACCUCUAGUAACUAACCGAUGCCAGCACAAAAAUCUCUACGGCUACGAGCACGGAUCUAAGCGGCCAGGACCAAUGAUAUAUCAAACACACUAGAACAGAUCUGAGCGUGCGAGGAAUGCAGAAGCAAUGAGGUGGGCGCUCACCGAAGACCGUGUUGAUGGGGUUCAUCGCCACCUGGUUCUUGGCGGCGUCGCCGAUGAGGCGCUCCGAGUCGGUGAAGGCGACGUACGACGGCGUGGUGCGGUUGCCCUGGUCAUUGGCGAUGAUCUCGACCCUGUCGUGCUGCCACACGCCGACGCACGAGUAGGUCGUGCCGAGGUCGAUGCCGAUGGCCGGCCCGUCGCCCUUCGCCGCCAUCUCUCUCGCGCGCUCCGGGGAAGCUCGAAGCUAUCUGGCUAGGGUUUUUCUUCCGGUGGAGGGCGGAGCGGCGGCGGGCUGAGGAGCGGGGUGGGGAAGAGGACUAGGGUUUGAAGAGGGGGGAAUUUUGGAGGGGGAACCGGGGAUUUUAUGGUGCGGCGGAAGAGGGCUCGUGAAGCUCUAGAAGGUUCCUGGGCUGCGGGUCGGGAUCGUUGAGGCGUCCAGAUCUGAUCCUGCGGAUGAUGGCGCACCGGGCGGAUGCCCUUUUGGUUUGGGAUGUUUAUUAUUUUCUUACUUAGGCCCUGUUUGGAACCAUCCAGAUUAUAUAAUCUGGUUUUUAUAAUUUAUUGUAUUUUCAAACAGGACAGUUUAUAUUGUAGAUUUUAUAAACUAGAUGACCAGAUUAUUAUAAUCUCAUAAUCUACUCUAUCCCAGCUAAAAUGAGAUUAUGGAUUACAAAUGACGUGUUAUCCUUGUAAACUUUAAGAGAAUUACGCAGUGCCACCGCCACUUUCCUAUUUUUUCUUGUAAGCAGAGAGCAAACAUGUCAUUGUACAAUUUAAAAGUUGAUUUACAUUUUAUAUAAUCUGGCCUCCAAACAUGCCCACCUGGAUUAUUUUUAUAAACCAGAUUAUAUAAUCUAUGUUCAUAAUCCAGAUUAUCAUAAUCUAUUAUGGUUCCAAACAGGGCCUUAUUAGGGCAAUUCAUUAAAGGCGAGUGCUACGGAUCAGUCGGAUGAUUUAAUCCGGUUUUAAGCCGUCCGUUCAGAUGCUCUGCAACCGUAUGAUCAGGAAGCUUCCAGCCUCCUAUGGCGCAGCACCAUGCAAUAGCUAUAUGGCGCACCGUGCAACAUCGACGGCACCCAGUGGCGCUCCUUUGCAACUCCGACGGCGCUUCAUUAUAGCUUCGGCGGAGCUUCAACAACGGCGAUGAUACUCCACUGCAGCACUUGAUGGUCUCGACGAACCUCAUCGCAACACCGGCGGUCCUCCGACGAAGCUCCAAUGCAGCAAUGAAAGGCCCCGACAAAGCUCCAUCGCAGCACCGGCCAUCCCUCGAAGAAACUUCAUUGUAUCACUAGACUUCCCUUGCAAAGUUCCAUCGCAGCAGUGGCUUGCGGACGCCGGAGCUACGAUGCAGUGGCUGUCGACUCCGCCGAAGCUGGGAUGUAGCGGUCAUCCGCCGUGGUCGGCCCCGUGGAGCAGCUCGUACGGCUAGCAGCACGCGAGCCACUGCCUUGUAGUGCCCGCGGCGAGCGCUCCUUACCACUUGCCGCUCGCCGGCGUAUGGCUGGGAAUCUCCCCCGGCGCCCUCCAUUCACACAGCUCGUCCUGCUACCUCAGUGGAAGAGGUGAGGAUGAGACGAUGUGAAGAAAGGAGGAAGAAGACUCCAGAGAAGAAGGGAUAAGAUUUUUGAAGUGGGGAACGGCAAGACCUGUGAUAAGGCAUGCAAAGUGGUGAGGCUCACGUGGGACACGUGUCAGAAAAAGGAGGCGGUUUACGUGAGAUGAAAAUCAGCCAGCUUAAACUAAACAUUUUCCUUCAUUAAAAUGGACACACCGAAUCACCGGUUAGGAGAGACGGUUCCAACUAUAGGGUGUCGUAAUUGAGAGCGAGUCAGCGUCCCAGUGCACCAAGGAGCACCACAUUCCGAUAUCGUACCCGAACGUGACCCUCCCGCACCACUAGCAUCUGGAUCCAGAGAGGAUCCAAGUGUCGGCCAUGCGGGGGUUGGCGCAGGCUCGCAUGGAGGAGGUUAGUUGCCGGCAGCGGCAACUCACGUCGGAGCAGCGACACAACCCUAUCUACGCAGGCGACUCUCCUGACUAGGAGGUUUGGUUCGCGCUCGAGCACGAGGACCAUCGUCGGCGCGGCGUGCGCGACGUGCAGCCAGGCCUCCGCCGCCUGAUACGUCUCCAUCGUAUCUACUUUUCCAAACUCUUUUGCCCUUGUUUUGGACUCUAAUUUGUAUGUUUUGAAUGGAACUAACCCGGACUGACGUUGUUUUCAGCAGAAUUGCCAUGGUGUUGUUUUUGUGCAGAAAUGAAAGUUCUCGGAACGUCCUGAAAAAUUACGGAGAAUAUUUCUGGAAAAUAUGAAAAAUACCUGCGCAAAGAUCCACCGGAGGGGACGGGCCAGUGGGCCACAAGCCCUGUAGCCGCAGCCUCCCCCCUGGCCGCGGCUACCAAGCUUGUGGGGCCCACGUGGCUCUGUCGCCCCCAAUUCCAGCGCUAUUUAUUCCCUUUCGUCCCGGAAAAAAUCAAGAGAGAAGAUUUCAUCGCGUUUCACGAUCGAGAGGCGCCGCCACAUCCCGUUCUUACCCUGGAGGGCAGAUCUGGAGUCCGUUUUGGGCUCCGGAUCAAGGAGAUCGUCGCCAUCAUCAUCAUCAACCUUCUUCCCUCUCCAAUUUCAUGAAGCUCUUCAUCGUUCGUGAGUAAUCUAUUCGUAGGCUCGCUGGACGGUGAUGAGUAGGAUGAGAUUUAUCAUGUAAUCGAGUUAGUUUUGACGGGGAUUGAUCCCUAGUAUCCACUAUGUUCUGAGAUUGAUGUUGCUACUACUUUGCCAUGCUUAAUGCUUGUCACUAGGGCCCGAGUGCCAUGAUUUCAGAUAUGAAAUUAUUAUGUUGUCACCAAUAUAUGUUUGUUUUAGAUCCGAUCUUGCAAGUUGUAGUUACCUACUAUGUGUUAUGAUCCGGCAACCCCGGAGUGACAAUAACCGGAACCACUCCCGGUGAUAACCAUAGUUUGAGGAGUUCAUGUGUUCACCAAGUGCUAAUGCGUUUGUCCCGUUCUUUAUUAAAAGGAGAACCUUAAUAUCCCGUAGUAUCCAUUUGGACCCCGCUGCCACAGGAGGGAUGGACAAUAGAUGUCAUGCAAGUUCGUUUCCCUAAGCACGUAUGACUACACACAUAAUGCAUGCCUACAUCACAUUGACGAACUGGAGCUAGCCACAUAUCUCUCCGUGUUAUAAAUGUUGCAUGAUGAAUGUCAUCCAACAAAUCACUGAUCCAUUGCCUACGAGUUUGUCCCACUAUUACCGUUGCUUGCUUUGCUCUACUGUUGCUCCUACUGUUACUUGUUGCUACUGUUACUUGCUUUGUCCUGCUGCUGCUGCCACUACUGUUGCUACUACUGUUACUUGCUGUUGAUGUUACUUGCUACUGUUGCUACUUGCUACUGCUGUCACUACUGUUGUUCCUUGCCACUGCUGUUACUCGUUACACUGCUACUACCUGCUACAAUACUUUUCUGGCGCCAUUGAUACUUCAGUUGGAAAUAAUCUGCCUUGUCAACAGAUCGAUUCUGGCACCGUUGCUAUCAUACUACCUUUGUUGCUUAUAUCCUGCUUGCAGAUACUAAUCUUUCAGGUAUGGUUGAACCGACGACUCAACUGCUAAUACUGGAGAAUAUCCUUUCACUCCCAUCGUGUCGAACCAACAAAUUUGGGUUGAAUACUCUAUCCUCGAAAACUACCGCGAUCCCACACGUUGGUGGGCCAUUGCAAGACAAUUGCUAAUUGUUGAGCAACUGGAAGCAGUUCUUUUCUGGUGUCAUUGCCGGGGACUGCUAGCAGCUCUUUUCUGGCGCCGUUGCCGGUGAGGGAAUAGCUAUAUUCUCUAAGUCACUUGGAAUUUAUAUCUGCUGAUCAAUAUGAAGAAUCUGAAAGAUCCAAGAACCAAAGUCUUGCCCUCAACUACGAGGGGAGGUAAGGAAUUGCCAUCUAGCUCUGCACUUGAUUCACCUUCAGUUAUGAGUAGGUUUGCGACACCACCUCCUGCUAGAAAUCUUGAUAUGUCGCAUGUGCUUGAUGAUGCUUAUGAUGCUACUAUGCUUGAUGAUACUAUGCCUGAUACUGCUAGAGAUACUAUGUCUGAUACUGCUAGAGAUGUUGUGCAUGAUACUGCUAGAGAUGAUAUGCCUGAUACUGCUAUCCAUGAUGCUAUGCUUGACACUGCUUUUCCUGAUGAUGCUAGAGAUGCUAUUUUGCGUGGUGAUGCUAUGCUUGAUACCGCUAGAGAUACUACUUUGCCUAAUAUACCACUAGGGGUAUUCCUUGAUGCCCAUAUUGCUAGAGUUACUGCCAAUGCUCGUAAUGCUUCUGAAACUGCCGAUACUAUUGAGAUAGAACCUUCUUUUGCUCCUGCUAGAUCUAUCUCUCCUAGAUAUGAAUUGCCUGAUAUACCUGAGGGUUAUGUUAUGGAGGGAGAGAUAGUUGAGGAUUUUCUUGCGUGUAAGGAUGACUAUGACGUUGAGAAAUUACUUUUCAAGUGGAAGGAAAAAAUCUCUGAAAGCUAGGAUGAAAUACGACCCGAAGUUUGCCACUUCACCUAUCUUUAUCACCGAUGAGGAUUAUGAAUUCCCUGUCAACCCUGAGAUAAUCUCUCUAGUCGAAUCUGAUCCUUUCCACGAUUAUGAGUCUGAGACGGUCGUAGCCCAUCUUACCAAACUACACGAUAUAGCCACCCUUUUCACUAGUGAGGAGAAGAUCCGCUACUACUAUAUCCUUAAGCGGUUUCCUUUUUCUCUAAAGGAUGAUGCUAAAGCCUGGUUCACUUCUCUUACUACUGGAUGUGUGAGUAGUCCCCAGGAUAUGGUCUAUUACUUCUGUGAGAAAUAUUUCCCUGCCCAUAAGAAGCAAGCUGCCUUACAGGAAAUAUACAACUUUGCUCAACUCAAAGAAGAGAGUCUCCCACAAGCUUGGGGGAGGCUCAUCCAGCUACAGAAUGCCUUGCCUGAUCACCCUCUUAAGAAGAACGAGAUACUUGAUAUCUUCUAUAACGGACUUACCGAUGCUUCUAAAGACCACCUAGAUAGUUGUGUCGGUUGUGUUUUUAGGGAACGAACUGUAGAACAAGCUGAGAUCCUACUGAAUAACAUCUUGAUCAACGAUAAUGCUUGGACUAUCCCCGAACCACCUCCUAAGCCAACUCCUAAGAAAAGAGGUAUUAUAUUCCUCAGUCCCGAAGAUAUGCAAGAAGCCAAGAAAUCUAUGCAAGAGAAAGGCAUUAAAGAGAUCCAUGGUCUCGAUAACCCGAUACAAAUAGUAGAGGUGAAUUCUCUACGUAGAUUCAAUGAGAGUGAUAUUCCUUUUAACAAACAUGCUAGCCUAUGCUUUGAUGAAUUUGACAACUUUGUUGCCAAACAAGAGAGUUUCAAUGAUUAUGUUAGCAGACAAUUGGAACAAAGUACUUGUAUGCUUAGUCAUUUAAGUGCUUGUGUAGACAGAAAUGUCAAUGAUCUAAAGCUUCUGAGUAAACAUGCCUCUAUGAUUACUACUCAGGUAGAACAAGUACCUAAAGCUCAAAAUGACUUGCUCAAUGAAUUAAAUGACAACUCUGUCAGAGUCAUUACUAGAGGAGACAAAAUGACUCAGGAAACUUUGUAUCCUGAAGGCCAUCCUAAGAGAAUUGAUCAAGAUUCUCAAGGAAUUAAUGCUGAUACACCCAGUCAUCCUAAGAAGAAGAAGGAUUAUAGAAACCUACAUGUCAGUUCACCAAAUAUUGUCACACUUGAAGAACCAAAUGAUAUUCCUACGUAUGAUGCAGAAACACAAUCUAGUGAUGAACAUGAACCUGGUGACAAUAUGGACAUCGAUGUUCAUAAUAAUGCUCAACCUAGCAAUGAUGAGGAUGUGGAGAUUGAACCUACGGUUAAUCCUGAUAACCCACAACCUAAGAGAUACGAUAAGAAUGACUUCACUGCUAGGAAGCAUGGUAAAGAAAGGGAGCCAUGGGUUCAGAGACCCAUGCCCUUUCCUCCUAAGCUAUCCAAGAAAAAGGAUGAUGAGGAUUUUGAGCGCUUUAUUGAAAUGUUGAGACCCAUCUUUCUGCAGAUGCGGUUAAUUGAUAUGCUCAAAAUGUCUCCAUAUGCCAAGUACAUGAAAGAUAUUGUGACUAAUAAACGGAAGAUACCAGAUCUUGAGAUCUCCACGAUGCUUGCCAAUUACACUUUCGAAGGUGGAACUCCUAAGAAACUUGGUGAUCCCGGAGUGCCCACUAUACCUUGCUCCAUUAAAGGAAACUACGUAAGAAUUGCCUUAUGCGACCUUGGAGCCGGUGCUAGUGUUAUGCCUCUCUCUCUUUAUCGUAGACUUGAACUGGAUAAGUUGACACCCACUGAAAUUUCUCUGCAAAUGGCCGACAAAUCAACUGCUUUCCCUGUCGGCAUUUGCGAGGAUGUGCCUGUUUUGGUUGCUAACGUUACUAUCUUAAUGGACUUUGUUAUCUUGGAUAUUCCUGAGGAUGAUGCCAUGACGAUCAUUCUUGGAAGACCGUUCUUAAACACUGCAAGGGCUAUUAUAGAUUGCAGCAAAGGCAAUGUCACCUUCCAUGUCAACGGUAAUGAGCAUACAGUGCACUUUCCGAAGAAACGAUAUCAAGUACAUUGCAUCAAUGCUAUCGAAAAAACUUCAUCGAUUCUUAUUGGGAGCUUUGAAUGCCCUAUUCCUCGUGUUAAGAUGAAGUAUGAUUUGCUUGUUGGGGAGAUUCAUAUCCCCAUUGAGGUUACUUAGUGGCUAUUCGACAAUUCUCCGUUUCCUUUUGCGAUUCGAAAAAGUUUUGUCAUGAGGAUUUGAUCAACCCGAUUGACGGAUUUCUUUCGAUGACCAUGAAAUGGAUGAAUCAAGGAGUCACAUACCUCUGUUUUAAGCUUUCACUUUUUGUUGCUUAGAAGGAAAAUGAUAGAUUUAGUUUAGUUUUUCCUGUUUUAUGUUUUAGCGUCCCGGAGAAAAGUACCCCAAAAAUAAAAGUUCUCCGAUGGUCCUGAAAAUCAAAUAUGAUUUUUUCUGGAUUUUUUUGAAAAAUACUGGGACUGAGAGCUGGCCUGGGGGCCACACCAGUGGGCCACAAGCCCUGUAGCCGCAGCCUCCCCCCUGGUCGCGGCUAGCAAGCUUGUGGGGCCCACAGGGACCCCCUCCACUCAUUCUAGCUCCCAUCCUCUUCUUCUACCUCCAGAAAAAAUCGUGUCGUAGCUCAAACCCGUGUUCUUGCUCAUUUGGCUGUGAUUUUCGAUCUCCUUGCUCAAAGCACCAUUCUCCGAACCGUUUUGGGGAAAUUACUCCUUGGUAAGUGACUCCUCCAUUGGUCCAAUUAGUUUCUACUCUAGUGCUUUAUCCUUCACGUAUUCUUGCUACCUUGGUGACCCUGUUCUUGAGCUUGAAAUGUUGAUUUUAGCUGGUCCCAAGUAGUUUUAGCGCGUGAUACGAUCUUUAGGCACUAGUAGGAGUAGUUGCUAUGAGCUGGGUAAUCCUUACUCACCUUUCUUUCGAAGUCUCUAAAAAUUUCAGAAUUUUUCAGAGUUAGAAAAGGGGAAAGAUGAGGAGGUUCUUGAGAGGCUCUUCAAGCCGUAACCCCAAGGAGGAUGAGAAGAACUACCCCAAGUACGUGGUUCCUCGAGUCACAGAAGUUUGAGCGUGCGAGUGGCCAAGUGAUGAAUUUUUGCGCGCCGCUGGGCUUUAUGAAGACUUUUAUUACUUGGUGGAGAACGUAGGUCUUACCGCGUUCGUUGAAGAUAAGUGCCCACAAUACCUCCUUCUCACCAAUAUUUUCGUUCAAAGCUUCAACUUUUAUCCGAGGAAGAAUCCUCCUAUGGUUGAGUUCAUGUUAUACGAUAUCCCCUAGCGCAUGACACUACAUGAUUUUUGCAAUGUGUGCAAAUUACCUUAUGUUGGGGAUAUUCAUGAUCCUCGUCCACGGGACUUGGAGGCUUUCAUAAAUACUAUUGUUGUUGGAGAGGAGAGAGGAGUGUCUCGCGCUAGAAUUUCUAGCAUACAUUUUCCUGUGCUUCGGUACUUCUCAUUAUUUGUGGGAAAAUGUUUGAUUGGCCGUGGGAAGGCUGGAUCACUUAGCUCUCCAGACCUUGCGGUUUUGCGCAGAGGCCUUUAUAACAAUAAGACUUAUAGCCUAGGUGAUAUAGUAGCUCGGCGGUUGAACAAAAACCGUUUCAAAGGUGUCGUCUAUGGAGGUAUCUAUGCUAAUCGUCUUGCGAGACACUUUGAGAUACCCGUUAGACCGGGGGAGGAACAAGAGAUGCUUCUUCUUGAGAAAUAUCUGGAUUAUGACAGCAUGGUUCGCCAUGAUUUUCUGGAUAGAGAUGCUAGUAGACGGAUGAUUUAUAACCUGGUAUUUAGUCAGGGUACUCGAGAGACUAUUACUUUGCCUGCUCCUUCUUUGUUCGAUCUUCAUGCAGACAGGUACACUAUUAUGCCCUCGGACAUCUACGCAUAUUGGGGCUUGGCCCAACCACAGGUGCCCUUGCCUGAGCCGCCAGUCGAGUACCAGACGCGAGAUUAUCACUGGGAGCCAGAGGAGCUUGAUACGUCUCAAACGUAUAUAUAAUUUUUGAUGGUUUCAUGCUGUUAUCUUGUCAUCUUUGGAUGUUUUAUGUACCUUUUAUAUCUUUUUUGGGACUAACUUAUUAAUUCAGUGCCAAGUGCCAGUUCCUGUUUUUUCUGUGUUUUUGGCUCUUUUCAGAUCUGAUUUUGGAACGGAAUCCAAACGAAAUAAAAUCCCCGAAAUAAAUUUUUCCCGAACGGAAGAAGAUCAGGGGGCUUGAGGGCCAAGCCAGGAGGGCUACAGGGGCCCCACAAGCCCCCUAUCCGCCACUAGGGGGCGGCGGCCAUCAGGCUUGUGGCCUCCCUGGCGCCCCCCUGACCUAGCUCCUUCGCCUAUAUAUUCCCUAAAAUACAUAAAAAAUCAAGAGAUCCACGAAAAUACUUUUCCGCCGCCGCAAGCUUCCGUUUCCGUGAGAUCUCAUCUGGAGACCCUUCCCGGUGCCCUGCCGGAGGGGACUUUGGAGUUGGAGGGCUUCUACAUCAACAUCAUCGCCCCUCCAAUGACUUGUGAGUAGUUCACUUCAGACCUACGGGUCCGUAGUUAGUACCUAGAUGGUUUCUUCUCUCUCUUGGAUCUUCAAUACAAAGUUCUCCAUGAUCUUCAUGGAGAUCUAUCCGAUGUAAUCCUCUUUGGCGGUGUGUUUGUCGAGAUCCGAUGAAUUGCGGAUUUGUGAUCAGAUUAUCUAUGAUAUAUACUUGAGUCUUUGCUGAUUUCUUAUGCAUGAUUUGAUAUCCUUGUAAGUCUCUUUGAGUCUUGGGUUUUGUUUGGCCAACUAGAUCUAUGAUUCUUGCAAUGGGAGAAGUGCUUGGUUUUGGGUUCUUACCGUGUGGUGACCUUUCCCAGUGACACUAGGGGCAGCAAGGCACACAUCGUGUAGUUGCCAUCAAGGGUAACAAGGUGGGCUUUGUCGUAGAUAUGAGAUUGUCCAUCUACAUCAUGUCAUCUUGCUUAAGGCGUUACUCUGUUCUUUGGACUUAAUACACUAGAUGUAUGCUGGAUUGCGGUCGAUGUGUGGAGUAAUAGUAGUAGAUGCAGAAAGUAUCGGUCUACUUGUUUUGGACACGAUGCCUAUAGAUAUAAUCAUUGCCAUAGAUGACGUCACGACUUUGCGCGGUUCUAUCAAUUGCUCGACAGUAAUUAUUCACCUACCGUCUACUUGCUUUCAUGAGAGAAGCCACUAGUAAACACUACGGCCCCCGGGUCUAUUCACANNNNNNNNNNNNNNNNNNNNNNNNNNNNNNNNNNNNNNNNNNNNNNNNNNNNNNNNNNNNNNNNNNNNNNNNNNNNNNNNNNNNNNNNNNNNNNNNNNNNNNNNNNNNNNNNNNNNNNNNNNNNNNNNNNNNNNNNNNNNNNNNNNNNNNNNNNNNNNNNNNNNNNNNNNNNNNNNNNNNNNNNNNNNNNNNNNNNNNNNNNNNNNNNNNNNNNNNNNNNNNNNNNNNNNNNNNNNNNNAACAAUCUAUAAGGGAUUGACAACCCCUUCAUAGCGUUGGGAGCAAGCUUUUUGUGUUUGUGCAGGCACUUGUGAUACUCCUUCACUGGAUCGAUACCUUGGUUCUCAAAACUGAGGGAAAUAUUUACCACCGCUGCGCUACAUCACCCUUUCCGCUUCGAGGGAACACCAACGCAAGGCUCCAAGGCCGCGGGGAAAUCCUUUGCAUAUUUGCCUAGGAAGUACCUAAAGGCGUAGCCGUAGCAGAAGGGUUCCUGGUGCCGUUGCUGAGGAGAAUCAAGACGUCUCCCGUGAGCACGUAUUUCUGGCGCCGUUGGAAGGUCUUUUGUUGCAGUAGCAGAGCUCACACAGCAGUGGCAUCCACAGUCCGCUCCGGAGUAUCCCGGAGCUGGUUAUUUCCCUCCUUGGGAGUAGACCAAGCUAGGUCAAAAGCCUAAGCUUGGGGGAGUACGUGUUUGCACCAACUCUACGUUCAUGCUUAUGCUUUCACUUUGUUAGUCGGUGUUUACACUUUGCCACUGUAUUAUCCAUGCUAGUUUAUUUCAUUUUCUUGUUUUCUAGUUUUGUGUCCUUUUGAGAAAACCCAAAAAGAUUUUCCUUUCUUCUUUUGCUUGUUGGGAGCUUUCCCGUGUAAAUAGUUUUCUUUUUCUUUGAGUCGAGGUAGAAGACCAUGGUUACAAUGUUUAGUGGAUCUCGCAUUCAUACAUGUUCAUUUGUUAAAGAGCCAUAUUACUUUGUCCUCUCCUUUCUGUUUGCGUGCAGAUUCAGGUUAGUCCAAUGCACGAGUGAUACGUCUCAAACGUAUCUAUAAUUUUUUAAGGUUUCACGCUGUUAUCUUGUCAACUUUGGAUGUUUUAUAUACCUUUUAUAUCGUUUUUGGGACUAACUUAUUAAUUCAGUGCCAAGUGCGAGUUCCUGUUUUUUCUGUGUUUUUGACUCUUUUCAGAUCUUAUUUUGGAACGGAGUCCAAACGGAAUAAAAUCUCUGAAAUAAUUUUUUUCAGAACAGAAGAAGAUCGGAAGGCUUGAGGGCCAAGGCACGGGGCCCACACGGAGCCCACAAGCCUUGUUGCUGCGGUGAGGGGGGCCCGCGGCAACCAGGCUUGUGGCCUCCGUGGUGCUCCCCUGCCCUAGCUCUUUGGCCUAUAAAUUCCCUAAAAUCACAAAAAAUGAGGGCAUCCACGAAAACACUUUUCCGCCGCCGCAAGCUUCCGUUUCCGCGAGAUCUCAUUUGGAGACCCUUCCCGGUGCCCUGCCGGAGGGGACUUUGGAGUUGGAGGGCUUCUACAUCAACAUCAUCGCGCUCUCCAAUGACUUGUGAGUAGUCCACUUCAGACCUACGGGUCCGUAGUUAGUAGCUAGAUGGCUUCUUCUCUCUCUUGGAUCUUCAAUAUAAAGUUCUCCAUGAUCUUCAUGGAGAUCUAUCCGAUGUAAUCCUCUUUGGCGGUGUGUUUGUCGAGAUCCGAUGAAUUAUGGAUUUGUGAUCAGAUUAUCUAUGAAUUAUAUUUGAGUCUUUGCUGAUUUCUUAUAUGCAUGAUUUGAUAUCCUUGUAAGUCUCUUCGAGCCUUGGGUUUUGUUUGGCCAACUAUAUCUAUGAUUCUUGCAAUGGGAGAAGUGCUUGGUUUGGGGUUCGUACCAUGUGGUGACCUUUCCCAGUGACAGAAGGGGCAGCAAGGCACGCAUCGUGUUGUUACCAUCAAGGGUAACAAGAUGGGCUUUCAUCAUAGAUUUGAGAUUGUCCAUCUACAUCAUGUCAUCUUGCUUAAGGCGUUACUCUGUUCUUUUGGACUUAAUAGACCAGAUGCAUGCUGGAUAGCGGUCGACGUGUGGAGUAAUAGUAGUAGAUGCAGAAAGUAUCGGUCUACUUGUUUUGGACAUGAUGCCUAUAGAUACAAUCAUUGCCUUAGAUAACGUCACGACUUUGCGUGGUUCUAUCAAUUGCUCGAUAGUAAUUCGUUCACCUACCGUCUACUUGCUUUCAUGAGAGAAGCCACUAGUGAACACUACGGCGAGAUCUAUCCAAGUAGGUGUCACAAACUCAUCUCUUGCAUUUACCUUUUUUGCCCGUUGCCUCUCGUUUUCCUCUCCCCCACUUCACAUUUGCCGUUUUCAUUUGCCUUUUUUGCCGUUUUCUUUUGCCCUUUGACGUUUUCCUUUGCCAGUUUUCUUGCUUGCUUGUGUUCUUGUUGGUUUGUUGAAGUCAUCAUGGCUGAAAACACGAAACUUUGCGACUUCUCGAGUACCAAUAAUAAUGAUUUUAUUAUCCGAUUGCUCCCGCCACUAGUGCGGAAUCGUAUGAAAUCAACGUAGCCUUGCUGAAUCUUGUUAUGAAAGAGAAAUUCUCUGGCCUUCCUAGUGAAGAUGUCGCAUCCCAUCUCAAUACCUUCAUUGAGCUUUGCGAUAUGCAAAAGAAAAGAGAUGUGGAUAAUGACGUGAUUAAGUUGAAGCUUUUUCCUUUCUCGUUGCGAGAUCGCGCAAAAACUUGGUUUUCUUCUUUGCCUAUUUUAUCGAUUCUUGGGAUAAGUGCAAAGAUGCUUACAUAUCCAAGUAUUUUCCGCCGGCUAAGAUUAUAUCUCUAUGUAACAAUAUCAUGAAUUUCAAGCAACUUGAUCAUGAACACGUUGCACAAUCUUGGGAGAGGAUGAAGUUAGUGAUUAGAAAUUGUCCCGCUCAUGGCUUGAGUUUGUGGAUGAUUAUACAAAUCUNNNNNNNNNNNNNNNNNNNNNNNNNNNNNNNNNNNNNNNNNNNNNNNNNNNNNNNNNNNNNNNNNNNNNNNNNNNNNNNNNNNNNNNNNNNNNNNNNNNNNNNNNNNNNNNNNNNNNNNNNNNNNNNNNNNNNNNNNNNNNNNNNNNNNNNNNNNNNNNNNNNNNNNNNNNNNNNNNNNNNNNNNNNNNNNNNNNNNNNNNNNNNNNNNNNNNNNNNNNNNNNNNNNNGUGGAACGUUCAUGGAAAUCAUGUUAGGAGACGCUACAAAACUCCUAGACAAUAUCAUGACCAACUACUCUCAGUGGCACACUGAAAGGUCGCCUGCUAGCAAAAAGCUACACGCUAUAGAAGAAAUUAACUCGCUUAGUGCUAAGAUGGAUGACUUGAUGAAUUUGGUUGCUAGUAGAAAUGCCCCUUUAGAUCCUAAUGACAUACCACUAUCUUCCUUGAUUGAGAGUAGCAACGCUAGUUUGGACAUUAAUUUUUUUGGUAGGAACAAUUUUGGCAAGAACAAUGCUUUUAGAGGAAACUAUGUUCCUAGGCCUUUUCCUAGUAACUCCUCUAACAAUUAUGUCAAUUCAUACAACAACACUUAUCACUUAUGGAAAUCAUAACAAAUUACCCUCUGAUUUAGAGAGUAAUAUCAAAGAGUUCAUCAACUCUCAAAAGAUUUUCAACGCGUCCAUAGAGGAAAAACUACUCAAAAUAGACGAUUUGGCUAAGAGCGUUGAUAGGAUGUCUUGUGAUAUUGAUGCUUUGAAAGUUAGAUGUGCUCCUCCCAAGGUCAACUUGGAUGAAACUUUAAAAGCUAUGCGUGUCUCCAUGAAUGAGAGCAAAGAAAGAACCACCCAAAUUCACGCUAGGCAUGAAUGGUUUAAAAUGGUGCGUUCUAGUGAUGCAAAUCACGGAGAUCUUAAAGUGCUUGGUGUGACUCCUCUUGAAUCUUUGUUUUCGCCUGUCAAACCUAUUGAUGAAGGGGCUGGAUAUGAAUCCACUUUGGUUGAAAAACGCCCAAAUGAUUCGGAGUCCACCUAUCUUGAUGAUAAAGGUGUGGAGAGUGGAGUAGAAGAAAUCAAAAUUUUGGGUAGUAAUGAAACUCCCACUUUGGAUUUCAAGGACUCAAUUAUGAUAGUUGCUCCUUGUUUGAAUGCAUUUCCUUGAUGCAAUACAUUGCAAACUCUCCACAUGCUUAUAGCCAAAGCAAUCUUUAUGAUGUAUUGCUGUCCUAUGUGUGAUCAUGAUGCCCUCAUGUCCGUAUUAUGUUUUAUCGACACCUUCGUCCCCAAACAUGUGGACAUGUUUAUGGAACUUGGUUUUCGCUUGAGGACAAGCGAGGUCUAAGCUUGGGGGAGUUGAUACGUCCAUUUUGCAUCAUGUUUUCAUGUUGAUAUUUAUUGCUUCUUGGGCUAUUAUAUUACUUGUGGUAUCAUAUUUAUGCCUUUUCUCUCUUAUUUUGCAAGGAUUAUUUGAAGAGGGAGAAUUCAGGCAGCUGGAAUUCUGGACUCGAAAAGGAGCAAAUCCUAGUUCACUAUUCUGCACAUAUCCAAAUGCCCUGAAAAUUUACGUGGAUUUUUUCUGGAAUAUAUUAAAAAUACUAGGCGAAAGAACUACCGGAGGGGGUCCACUAGGGCCCCACAAGCUUGCCCGCCGCCACCACCACCCCUAGUGGCGCAGGGCAGGCUUGUGGGCAGCCCACUGGCCCACUAGCCCCCCUCUUUUGCUAUAUGAUGCGUCCUGACCUGGAAAAAAUCAUACGGGAGCUUUUUCGUGGUUUCGUCGCCGCCAAGGGGCGGAACUUGAGCAGAUCCAAUCUAGAGCUCCGGCAGGACGAUCCUGCCAGGGAAAUUUCCCUCCCGGAGGGGGGAAUCGUCGCCAUCGUCAUCACCAACACUCCUCUCUUCGGAGGGGAGGCAUCUUCAUCAACAUCUUCAUCAGCACCAUCUCCUCUCCAAUCCCUAGUUCAUCUCUUGUAACCAAUCUNNNNNNNNNNNNNNNNNNNNNNNNNNNNNNNNNNNNNNNNNNNNNNNNNNNNNNNNNNNNNNNNNNNNNNNNNNNNNNNNNNNNNNNNNNNNNNNNNNNNNNNNNNNNNNNNNNNNNNNNNNNNNNNNNNNNNNNNNNNNNNNNNNNNNNNNNNNNNNNNNNNNNNNNNNAGGACAUGGGAUAAGUCUUGCUAUAAGUAGUCAUGUGAAUUUGGUAUUCGUUCGAUAUUUUGAUGCGAUGUAUGUUGUCUUUCCUCUAGUGGUGUUAUGUGAACGUCGACUACAUGACACUUCCACCAUAUUUGGGCCUAGAGGAAGGCAUUGGGAAGUAGUAAGUAGAUUCCUGAGGACAUGGGAUAAGUCAUGUUAAUAAUAGUCAUGUGAAUUUGAUAUUCGUUCGGUAUUUUGAUAUGUUGUAUGUUGUUUUUCCUCUAGUGGUGUUAUGUGAACAUCGACUACAUAACACUUCACCAUAUUUGGGCCUAGAGGAAGUCAUUGGGAAGUAGUAAGUAGAUGAUGGGUUGCUGGAGUGACAGAAGCUUAAACCCCAGUUUAUGCGCUGCUUCGUGAGGGGCUGAUUUGGAUCCACUAGUUUAAUGCUAUGGUUAGACUUUGUCUUAAUUCUUCUUUUGUAGUUGCGGAUGCUUGAGAGAGAGGUUAAUCAUAAGUGGGAUGAUUGUCCAAGUAAGGGCAGUACCCAAGCGCCGGUCCACCCACAUAUUAGACUAUCAAAGUAACGAACGCGAAUCAUAUGAACAUGAUGAAACUAGCAUGACAGAAAUUCCCGUGUGUCCUCGGGAGCGUUUUUCCUCCUAUAAGACUUUGUUCAGGCUUGUCCCUUGCUACAAAAGGGAUUGGGCCACUUGUUGCACCGUUGCUACUACUUGUUACUUGUUACUCUUUGCUUGCUACGUUUCACCUCGCUACACAAUCACUUGUUACCGCUANNNNNNNNNNNNNNNNNNNNNNNNNNNNNNNNNNNNNNNNNNNNNNNNNNNNNNNNNNNNNNNNNNNNNNNNNNNNNNNNNNNNNNNNNNNNNNNNNNNNNNNNNNNNNNNNNNNNNNNNNNNNNNNNNNNNNNNNNNNNNNNNNNNNNNNNNNNNNNNNNNNNNNNNNNNNNNNNNNNNNNNNNNNNNNNNNNNNNNNNNNNNNNNNNNNNNNNNNNNNNUGCUCCUCGUUGGGUUCCUUUCCAGCACAUUGGGAUCCUAAGCUUNNNNNNNNNNNNNNNNNNNNNNNNNNNNNNNNNNNNNNNNNNNNNNNNNNNNNNNNNNNNNNNNNNNNNNNNNNNNNNNNNNNNNNNNNNNNNNNNNNNNAGAGGCAUGCUAGGGAUGGUGUUUUGUCUAUGUAUCCACACAUGUAAAUGAGUCUUCAUUCAAUACAAUUAUAGCAUGGAUAAUAAACUAUUAUCUUGAUACAUGAAUUAUAAUAAUAACUAUACAUUUAUUAUUGCCUCUAGGGCAUAAUUCCAACAUAUGCAUGAUUUCGUAUCCUUGUAAUUCUCUUCGAGUUGUGGGUUUUGUUUGGCCAACUAGAUCUAUGAUUUUUGCAAUGGGAGAAGUGCUUGGUUUUGGGUUCAUACCGUGCGGUGACCUCACCCAGUGACAGAAGGGAUAGCGAGGCACGCAUCGUGUUGUUGCCAUCAAUGGUAAAACGAUGGGGUUUUCAUCAUUGAUUUGAGAUUAUCCCUCUACAUCCUGUCAUCUUGCUUAAAGCGUUACUCUAUUCGUCAUGAACUCAAUACACUAGAUGCAUGGUGGAUAGCGGUCGAUGUGUGGAGUAAUAGUAGUAGGUCAUAAAGUAUCGGUCUACUUGUCUCGGAUGUGAUGCCUAUAUGUAUGAUCAUUGCCUUAGAUAUCGUCAUGACUUUGCACGGUUCUAUAAAUUGCUCGGUAGUAAUUUGUUCACCCACCGUAAUACUUGCUAUUUUGAGAGAAGCCUCUAGUGAACACUAUGGCCCCCGGGUCUACUCCACACCAUAUUUUCAGCCUUACACCUUUUACUUCGUUGCACUUUCCGCCUUCAGAUCUCACUUUGCAAUCAAUCUUGAAGGGAUUGACAACCCCUUUAAAGCGUUGGGUGCAAGCUCUUUUGUGUUUGCGCAGGUAUUCUGGACUUGACGAGACCCUCCUACUGGAUUGAUACCUUGGUUCUCAAACUGAGGGAAAUACUUACUGCUCCUGUGCUGCAUCACCCUUUCCUAUUCAAGGGAAAAACCAACGCAAGCCCAGUCUCCGUCAACGUGUCAAUCUCUGGCGCUGUUGUGUAUUGCCGUAGCACGUAGCUACUCCCGAAGAAAAAUCGGAGCCCGCUGGUUAAUUGGGCCGCAACAAGCCCAUUUAGCCCCCUCGGUAUCUGGCGUAGAGUCAGCAACAUCGACAAAAAUGUUUUAAAAAAUGAAAAGAAAAGAAGGAAACGCAAAAAGAGUUCUCCUCUCUCAGGAUGGCGAUCGGCGAACGUUGCCGCCACUGCUAGCAGUCCACGGCAACGACACUAGAGAAAUGUUGUUGACGUGUUCCUGACUCGAUGCCUCCAUGGCAACAGAGCCAAAACUGCUUCGAGUUGCUCAACAAUUAGCAAUUAUCUUGCAAUAGCCCACCAGCGCGUGGGUUCGCGGCAAUUUUCGAGGGUAGAGUAUUCAACCCAAAUUUGUUGGUUCGCCCGUCAGGAAGUGAAAGGAUAAUCUCAAGUAUUAGCAGCUGAAUGUAUCAGAUUCAACCGCACCUGAAAGUUUAGUAUCUGCAAGCAAAGUAUCGGUAGCAAAGUAGUAUGAUAACAACGGUGCCAGAAACGAUCUAUUGACGGCAGAAUAUUCCUAAUUGUUGUAUCAAUGGCGCCAGNNNNNNNNNNNNNNNNNNNNNNNNNNNNNNNNNNNNNNNNNNNNNNNNNNNNNNNNNNNNNNNNNNNNNNNNNNNNNNNNNNNNNNNNNNNNNNNNNNNNNNNNNNNNNNNNNNNNNNNNNNNNNNNNNNNNNNNNNNNNNNNNNNNNNNNNNNNAUCAAUGGCGCCAGAAGUUACCCGCGGACAGGAAAUAUUCUUUCCCGUCAACGUCGAGAGAAAAAGUAUUAUAACAGGUAGCAGCAGUGUAACGAGUAACAACAGUGGCAAGGAACAGCAGUAGUGACAACAGUAGCAAGUAGCAACAGUAGCAAGUAACAGUAGUAGCAAGUAGCAGCAGAGCAAAGCAAGACAAGUAACAUCAGCAGAGUAAAACAAGUAACAACAGUAACAUCAGUAGUAGGACAAACUCGUACGCAAUGGGUCGGUGAUUUGUUUGGAUGAUAUUCAUCAUGCAACAGCUAUAACACGGAGAGAUAUGUGGCUAGCUCCCGUUCGUCAAUGUGAUGUAGGCAUGCAUUCCGUGUGUCGUCAUACGUGCUUAGGGAAAAGAACUUGCAUGACAUCUAUUGUCCAUCCCUCCCGUGGCAGCGAGGUCCAAAAAGAAACUACGGGAUAUUAAGUUUCUCCUCAAACUAUGGUCAUCAUCGGGAGUGGUUCCGGUUAUUGUCACUCCGGGGUUGCCGGAUCAUAACACAUAGUAGGUAACUACAACUUGCAAGAUCGGAUCUAAAACACACAUAUAUUGGUGACAACAUAAUAAUUUCAAUUCUGAAAUCAUGGCACUCGGGCCCUAUUGACAAGCAUUAAGCAUGGCAAAGUAGUAGCAACAUCAAUCUCAGAACAUAGUGGAUACUAGGGAUCAAUCCCCGUCAAAACUAACUCGAUUACAUGAUAGAUCUCAUCCUACUCAUCACCGCCAGCGAGCCUACGAAUAGAUUAUUCACGAACGAUGAAGAGCUUCAUGGAAUUGGAGAGGGAAGAAGGUUGAUGAUGACGAUGGCGAUGAUUUCCCCUCUCCGGAGCCCAAAACGGACUCCAGAUCUGCCCUCCAGAUGAAGAACAGGAUGUGGCGGCGCCUCCGUAUCGCAAACGCGACGAAAUCUUCUCUCUUGAUUUUUUUCGGGACGAAAGUGAAUUUAUGGAGCUGAGUUUGGGGGCGGCAGAGCCACGUGGGCCCCACAAGCUUGGUAGCCGCCACCAGGGGGGCUACAGGGCUUGUGGCCCACUGGCCCAUCCCCUCCGGUGGAUCUUUGUGCACGUAUUUUUCAUAUUUUCCAGAAAUAUUCUCCGUAAAUUUUCAGGAUGUUCCGAGAAUUUUUCAUUUAUGCACAAAAACAACACCAAGGCAAUUCUGCUGAAAACAACGUGAGUCCAGGUUAGUUCCAUUCAAAUCAUGCAAAUUAGAGUCCAAAACAAGGGCAAAAGAGUUUGGAAAAGUUGAUACGAUGGAGACGUAUCAGCCACCAACUCCUUGUUUCAUCCGCUUCCCUCUAUGCCGGUUGGAUCGAUCCCGUGUCUCUCCAUGACCCAGUGUCCACCACUGACUUUGAUUCUGCACCCCGGUCCCUCCUGACCUUGGCCUAGGGCGAGAUCUGGUGCGCCGCCUAUGUAGUCGCCGUUGCAGAGAGGGGGAGAGAGAGGGGGAGGAGAGGGAGAGGGAGGAGGUGGCACGAACGGGACAACCCCCAUGUAUGUGUGCCUGGCGCGAGCGAUGUUUGUGGUCUCGCCGGGGGGUGUGGCCUGUUAGACAAAAUAUCUCUUUGUAUUAUACGUGACUUGUAUAACACGUAUUGGUUAGGAUCUCUUUCUAUCUCCUUGUGUUUAAACUGUAGAUAAGAUAGAUUGAUCUUAAACCUCUUCUCAUGUAUAUCUCUUCGGCUUAUGCCUAUGUAAACAUGCACGCGUCCCUACUAAGAGCAUACGCUUCCAGCCUUUCUCACAUGGUAUAAGAGCCACCUCUUCCAUCGACAUGUCAUCUUCCUCCUCAAGCUCCACCAUGGCUGCCUCCCUCGCUGCGCUAGGUCACACAAUAACCGAAAAGCUAGCUAGGGACAAUUUUUGGUGUGGAAGGCGCAGGUCCUCCCACAUGUGCGCGCCGCCGGACUCAUGGGCUACCUUGAUGGCACCGUGGCCGAGCCGCCCGCCGUUUUGACCACCGAUACUGAUGUUGCAGGGAAGAAGGAGAUCUCUUCGACUCCCAAUCCUGCCCAUGUCCUCUGGUACACGCAGGAUCAGCAGGUCCUCACUUUUCUUCUUGCCUCCCUAUCUUGCGAUGUUCUCCUUCAGGUGCACUCCUUGGCUUCUGCAACCGGUGUCUGGACGGUGAUCCAGCAGAUGUUCGCCUCCCACUCCAGGGCGCGCCACAUCCAACUCCGGGGGCAGCUCGGCAACACCAAGAAGGGGGACUCUCCUGUCGCCAUCUACUUCACCAAGAUGAAGGGAUUUGCAGAUGAGAUGGCGGCAGCACGCAAACCUAUUGACGACGACGAGUUGGUGUCCUAUAUCCUGCAAGGAUUGGACUCUGACUACAACCCGUACGUUGUCGUCCUCUCAUCUCGUCCCGAGGCUGAUCAGAAGAUCGGUCUCACCGAGCUUUUCUCCUUGCUAAACACGGCGGAGGCCCGCAUCCACGCACAAAACGGCAGCAACACCAACUCCUUCUCCAUCAACCUCGCCUCUAAGGGGGGCUCCCGCAACAACACCGACACUCGCCCCUCUGGUCCUGGCGGCGGCAAUCCUGCUGCCUACCGUGGUGCUGGCGGAGGGUUCUUCCCCAACACUGCUGCUGCCCCUCCUUCCUCUGGCGGGCGGGAUGAGACGUGCCAGAUUUGCAAGCGGCAGGGCCACGCUGCCUGGCGCUCCUUCAAGCGCUACGACAAAAACUUCAAUCCUCCUCCCAAGCGUCAAGGUGGUGGUGGCGGCAACAACAGCAGCGGCGGCAACACCAAGUCUGCAAACACCGUCUCUGCUGCCUACGGCGUCGAUACCAACUGGUAUCUUGACACCGGUGCUACGGACCAUGUCACCGGCGAGUUGGAGAAGCUUGUCGUGCAUGAUCGAUAUACUAGACCAGAGCAAAUCCACACUGCAAGUGGUCAAGGUAUGGAGAUUAAACAUGUUGGUCAUUCGCUGCUUCCUACUCCACAUAAACCAUUACACCUAAACAAUAUUCUUCAUGUUCCCAAAUCCAAAAAUCUCCUCUCUGGUUCCCAACUUACAAAAGAUAAUGAUGCCUACCUUGUUGUUUACCCUGAGUUCUUUUCUAUUCACAAUCAGGAAACGGGGGGCACAAUCCUUCACGGUCCGAGUAAGAAUGGGUUGUACCCCAUUGCUGCUGGGCAACCAGGUGCUCAUGGGCGUCACAUGCUUGGAGCCAUCAAACCAUCUACUUCUAGGUGGCAUAGACGCCUAGGUCAUCCGUCCUUCCCAGUGGUGCAGCAGAUUCUACGCAACCACAGUCUCCGAGUGUCAAAUAAAGUAGAUAAUCACCUUGUGUGUGAUGCUUGUCAAAUGGCUAAAAGCCAUCAAUUACCCUACUAUCGGUCAACUAGUGUGUCUCAAGCUCCUUCAGAGCUCAUUUAUUCUGAUGUUUGGGGCCCUGGCCCUCUUUCAGUUGGUAGACAAAAAUAUUAUGUUAGCUUCAUUGAUGAUUUCAGCAAAUUUAUUUGGAUUUAUCUUAUCAAACACAAAUCAGAUGUCUUCCAAAAAUUUCAUAUCUUUCAAGCCCUUGUUGAAUGUUUGUUUGCCCACAAAAUUAUUGCUAUGCAAACCGAUUGGGGGGCUGAGUAUCAAAAGUUAAAGCAAUUUUUUCAGAAACUUGGCAUUACGCAUCAUGUGUCAUGCCCUCAUGCUCACCAACAAAAUGGUUCUGCUGAACGUAAGCAUCGCCAUAUUGUCGAGGUUGGUCUUUCCCUCCUCGCUCAUGCCUCCAUGCCUCUCAAAUUCUGGGAUGAGGCCUUCUCUACGGCUGUUUAUCUUAUUAAUCGUGUUCCUAGCCGUGUCAUUCACAACCAAACUCCCUUGGAACGUCUUUUUGGUCUCACACCUAACUACACCUUUCUUCGUAUUUUUGGUUGUGCUGUUUGGCCUAAUCUCCGCCCCUUCAACAAACAUAAACUUGAGUACCGCUCAAAACAAUGUGUGUUCAUUGGUUACAGUGAUCUACACAAAGGAUAUAAAUGCCUUGAUGUCUCCACCGGGCGGGUCUAUGUGUCUCGGGAUGUUAUUUUUGAUGAACAUAUUUUCCCCUUUGCAUCUUUACAUCCCAAUGCCGGCGCUCAACUUCGUGCUGAACUUGUUCUUCUCCCACCCACCCUUCUCAAUUUAUCUAGCCCCCUUACACCUUCCGCAGCACCAAAUGACCCAAUGGCAACCUCUACUACUUUUGCACCCACCUCUGCUAACAGUGUGCAGGACUCCGCAAGUAUUUCUCAUGAUUUUAUGCAGCCUAAUGUUUCUACAGAUUCGGUGGCCACAGAAAAUCCAGGGCUGCAUGCCUUGGAAUCAGCACCUCCAGCACCUAGGGCAGGCGAUCCUCUCCUCCAGGCCUCGGGAUCGGCCGCCGCAGCCCCUGGAUCUUCUCCGGAUUUUGUGCACCAACCCUCUGCGUCGGUUGGCCGGUCCCCUGCAUCCACCUCGGAUCCGGUGCGCCAACCAGACGCGUCUGCCGCUCGGGCCCCCGCCUCGGACCUGGUGCGCCCAACAACGGCUGCGACCGCGGUGUCCCCCACCUCGGACUUGGUGCGCCCCCCCAGGAGAUUCGCCUGCAGCGGCGCGCUUCCCCAACCGCGCCUUGGAUCGGCCGCGGUCUCUCCCGUGUGGUGGGCCCGCCCUGUGUCCUGCCGUGGACACGGGAGACUCCCCUCGACGUGGCGACCCGCUACAGGCUCCUGCGUCGCCGUCCCAUGCAACGUCGGUGGCAUCCCAUGCAACGUCCGCCUCGCCUGCUGUUUCUUCUGGUGUGUCAUCUAAUCCGGUAUUUUCUGAUUCUGCGCUGCCCCAUCGUGUCCAGCAAAAUAUGCAACCCAUGCAACAAGCACCUCCACCCCCUCGGGCUCAUACUAGGUCACAAAGUGGUAUUCUUAAACCCAAAGUUCACACCGAUGGUUGUAUUCGUUGGGGCUCUUUUUGUGCUACAGGUGAACCAGAAAAUCUCAAGGAGGCUAUUGCUGAUCCUAAGUGGAAAGCUGCUAUGGACGAAGAAUUUGGUGCACUUUUGUCCAAUAACACAUGGCAUUUGGUACCCCCGUGUCCUGUACAAAAUAUCAUUGACUGCAAAUGGGUCUAUAAGGUAAAACGACACUCUGAUGGUACCAUUGAUAGAUAUAAGGCUCGUCUUGUUGCCAAAGGAUUUAAGCAACGUUAUGGUAUUGAUUAUGAGGAUACGUUUAGCCCAGUUGUCAAAGCUGCAACCAUUCGUUUAAUCCUGUCUAUUGUUGUGUCCCGUAAUUGGUCUAUGCGCCAACUUGAUGUAAAGAACGCGUUUCUACACGGUGUUCUGGAAGAGGAUGUUUUUAUGAGACAACCACCUGGGUAUAAAAGUUUACAGUCACCUACAUUUGUUUGCAAGCUUGACAAAGCAAUCUAUGGCCUAAAACAAGCACCUCGGGCAUGGUAUUCUCGUUUGUCCUCUAAACUUCAGUCUCUUGGAUUUCAUCCUUCACAGGCAGAUACCUCCCUAUUUUUCUAUUCAAGACAUGGAGUCACAAUUUUCAUGCUUAUUUAUGUUGAUGAUAUUAUUGUCACUAGUUCCUCUGCUCAUGCGGUUGAUGCUCUUUUAAAAGAUCUUCGUAUGGACUUUGCCCUCAAAGAUCUUGGCACACUCCACUACUUUCUGGGCAUUGAGGUAAAACCUACUCGUGAUGGUAUUGUUCUCUCUCAAGGCAAGUAUUUGGUGGAUCUUCUCACACGUAUGAACAUGAAAGGUUGCAAACCUGUUUCCACUCCUCUCCCAACCGCAGCAAAACUAUCCCUUUAUGAUGGUGAGCCGCUUUGUGAUGAGGACUCCACAAAGUACAGAAGCAUUGUUGGUGCCUUGCAAUAUGUGACUUUAACUCGUCCAGACAUCUCGCUUUCUGUCAACAAAGUUUGCCAAUUCUUACAUGCUCCUACCACUGUUCAUUGGUCCUUGGUUAAGUGCAUUAUUCGGUAUUUACAAGGAACCAUGCAUCAUGGUCUCCGUAUUAGUAAGACAGGUUCUAUGCUGGUUAGUGCCUUUUCAGAUGCAGACUAGGCUGGUUGUCCUGAUGAUCGUCGCUCCACAGGAGGUUUUGCAGUUUUUCUUGGGAGUAAUAUUGUCUCUUGGAUUGCUCGCAAACAACCCACUGUCUCUUAUUCCAGUACCGAAGCUGAGUAUAAGGCACUGGCAAAUGCUACUGCUGAAGUUAUUUGGGUACAAACUCUGUUGACAGAACUUGGUGUGCCUCAUCCUCGAGCAACUUCUCUUUGGUGUGAUAAUUUGGGUGCUACUUACUUGUCUGCUAAUCCUAUCUUUCAUGCUCGCACCAAGCACAUUGAGGUUGAUUAUCACUUUGUUCGUGAAAGGGUUGCCAACAAGUUGUUGAAUAUCAGGUUUAUUCCUACUGGUGAUCAAGUGGCGGAUGGGUUCACUAAACCAUUGACAGCUCAGCAACUUGGUGUUUUUCGUCGCAAUCUCAACUUAGGCAGUUUUGAUUGAGGGGGGAUGUUAGACGAAAUAUCUCUUUGUAUUAUACGUGACUUGUAUAACACGUAUUGGUUAGGAUCUCUUUCUAUCUCCUUGUGUUAAAACUGUAGAUAAGAUAGAUUGAUCUUAAACCUCUUCUCAUGUAUAUCUCUUCGGCUUAUGCCUAUAUAAACAUGCAUGCGUCCCUGCUAAGAGCAUACGCUUCCAGCCUUUCUCACACGGCCAAGCUCAACCCCGCGGUGGAGUUGUUCUUUCUUCUACCCCCAAUGCUUUUUCCGAUCUUCAGGUUAGGCCCAUGCACAGUUCCCUGUUCCAUUAUAUUGUUGUGUCCUUAUUCUGUGGCUCCUACUUUUGAAUUAUUGACUCAUGCUUUGUUAGUUUCUUAUGGUUGUAGAUUCCAGAUAAUUUAAUAUACUACUCAGGAAUUAACUAUGUAAAUCAUUUGAAUCAUUGCUGAGAAAAUUACCAAUCCAGCAUAUAUGAAUUGCCACCAAAUAUUUAGCUCGAGUGGUGUACUUAUGUUAAGUUCAACAUGGUUUAAAUUCCCCAAACUGCACGUAGUUCUCACCAUCAACAUCACAUGGGACAAGUAUAAUGCAAUCUGAAGUCGAUAAUGUUAUUUAUUGUUGGGUUAGUUUGCUGACUGCUGAUGAUCGUAUUUACUUAGUACGUUCUUGUACCUUCAGAUUAGAAUAUCUUUCUUGUGAAGACUAUUUGCUCCAGCUUGUCACUUAGUUGUUGUAGGUAUGGGGUAGAAAAAUCAAACACGUGUUCGACUCCAUCUAGAACCUCAAAGAGCUGUAUGACGGUGGUGCAGACCGUCCCUUGCAGCGGAAUAAAAAUGUGGCACAACAACCCCCCUCUACGGCGAUGGGAUCAUGCCUCUAACCUUGACUGAAUCGUAGAAGGGCGUUGGUGGCACCCCUGCCCCUCACUUAUGCUUCAGGAUCUCGCCACUUACCACUGCUCUACGGAGACUCAACAACAAUGAACAGGUAGCAGGUCCUGGGAUUCACCAAAUCCACAAUGUGCGUGGUUGUAUGGUCAUCUAUGCACAGAUAGAAUCUAUGGACCUCGAGCGCAAGAAAUGCAUCACCAUCCAAUCGAAUGCUACCUUCUGUACCUAGAAUGGAUACGAGGUCCAUUUCUCUCCUUUUUUCACUCAUUUGCAAUUAAUCCAUUUAGCUCUCUUUGGUUGGUUGUUAAUGAAAAUAAUGGGAACUUGGGUUAUCAUACAAUGACAUGAUACAUUUGAUGUGAGAGAAUGAUCUAUUACCUCAUGCCUUUCCACUGUUUUGGAGCUAACUGUAACUCGGUUUCGUUAAUCAGUGUGACAAUAUAGCAUUCUUUUGGGUGCUUCUUUCACAAAUUAGUAGCACAUAUGGUUUCUUUCGUAGAAGCUUAAUUGGUCGAUGGGUGUUGGGGAACGUCGCAUGGGAAACAAAAAUUUUCCUACGCGCACGAAGACCUAUCAUGGUGAUGUCCAUCUACGAGAGGGGAUUUCCGAUAUACGUACCCUUGUAGAUCGCACAGCAGAAGCGUUAAGAAACGCGGUUGAUGUAGUGGAACGUCCUCACGUCCCUCGAUCCGCCCCGCGAACCGUCCCACGAUCCGCUCCGAUCUAGUGCCGAACCGACGACACCUCCGCGUUCAGCACACGUACAGCUCGACGAUGAUCUCGGCCUUCUUGAUCCAGCAAGAGAGACGGAGAGGUAGAUGAGUUCUCCGGCAGCGCGACGGUGCUCCGGAGGUUGGUGGUGAUCUAAUCUCAGCAGGGCUCCGCCCGAGCUCCGCAGAAACGCGAUCUAGAGGUAAAACCGUGGAGGUAUGUGGUCGGGCUGCCGUGGCAAAAGUUGUCUCAAAUCAACCCUAAUAGCUCCAUAUAUAUAGGAGGAGGGGAGGGGAGGCUUGCCUUGAGGCUCAAGGAGCCCCAAGGGUUGCGCCACCAAGGGGAGGAGGAGUCCUCCUCCAAUCCUAGUCCAACUAGGAUUGGAAGGUGGAGUCCUUCUCUUCCUUCCCACCUCCUUUUUUUCUCUUUGAUUUUUUAUCUAUGGCGCAUAGGGCCUUCUUGGGCUGUCCCACCAGCCCACCAAGGGCUGGUGCGCCACCCCCAAGGCCUAUGGGCUUCCCCGGGGUGGGCUUCCCCCCCGGUGAACAUCCGGAACCCAUUCGUCAUUCCCGGUACAUUCCCGGUAACUCCGAAAACCUUCCGGUAAUCAAAUUAGGUCAUCCUAUAUAUCAAUCUUCGUUUCUGGACCAUUCCGCAAACCCUCGUGACGUCCGUGAUCUCAUCCGGGACUCCGAACAACAUUCGGUAACCAACUAUAUAACUCAAAUAUGCAUAAAACAGCGUCGAACCUUAAGUGUGCAGACCCUGCGGGUUCGAGAACUAUGUAGACAUGACUCGAGAGACUCCUCGGUCAAUAUCCAAUAGCGGGACCUGGAUGCCCAUAUUGGAUCCUACAUAUUCUACGAAGAUCUUAUCGUUUGAACCUCAGUGCCAAGGAUUCAUAUAAUCCCGUAUGUCAUUCCUUUGUCCUUCGGUAUGUUACUUGCCCGAGAUUCGAUCGUCAGUAUUCGCAUACCUAUUUCAAUCUCAUUUACCGGCAAGUCUCUUUACUCGUUCCGUAAUACAAGAUCCCGCAACUUACACUAAGUCACAUUGCUUGCAAGGCUUGUGUGUGAUGUUGUAUUACCGAGUGGGCCCCGAGAUACCUCUCCGUCAGAGGGAGUGACAAAUCCCAGUGUCGAUCCAUACUAACUCAACGAACACCUUCGUAGAUACAUGUAGAGCAUCUUUAUAGUCACCCAGUUACGUUGUGACAUUUGAUACACACAAAGCAUUCCUCCGGUGUCAGUGAGUUAUAUGAUCUCAUGGUCAUAGGAACAAAUACUUGACACGCAGAAAACAGUAGCAACAAAAUGACACGAUCAACAUGCUACGUCUAUUAGUUUUGGGUCUAGUCCAUCACAUGAUUCUCCUAAUUAUGUGAUCUCGUUAUCAAGUAACAACACUUGCCUAUGGCCAGGAAACCUUGACCAUCUUUGAUCAACGAGCUAGUCAACUAGAGGCUUACUAGGGACAGUGUUUUGUCUAUGUAUCCACACAAGUAUUGUGUUUCCAAUCAAUACAAUUAUAGCAUGGAUAAUAAACGGUUAUCAUGAACUAAGAAAUAUAAUAAUAACUAAUUUAUUAUUGCCUCUAGGGCAUAUUUCCAACAAUGGGUGCAUCAACUGCCUUUACUAAAUCCCAAAAAACAACCUUGAAAAAAUUAUAAGAGAUCCAACCUUAUUUGUAACCAACUAGCAAAGUUUAUGUUCUCGUGGAUAUAUUAGCUUUAACUAAUAAAUAGUCUGUAAGUACGUCUAAGUGUUAUAUAUUCACCGGGAGUUUAAAUACUAAAACUAAGUUGAUUGAUAAUAUUUAUCACAGGACAAUAGUUUGUUGUCGUACUUAUUAUUUAUUAUCCGCAAGAGUCCUUACUGAACCUUUCAAUUUUGUGUUCCACUCGGUACUGAAAGUUUGUUCAAUGUUGCAUUGAGAUAUUGAAUCAGACCUUUUGUUUAGAGUAUUGCAGUCGUAUAUUGAUAUCUGUAGCUUUUGGUGCCUACACCUCACCAAGAUGCUUGUGCCAGCGGCCCGGGGGUGACACACAUGAAUGGUAGGUGUAGCCGUGUUUCGUCAUCUUCUUCCCAUGCUAGCUCAAACCUUAAGUGUGCUGAGAUCCAUACCCUGCCCCCGCUGGUUGUUACAUUGGUAUUCUUCAUUGGCCUCUCAGGAGCUUGAUUUGUGACUUUCCUGAUCAAAGAAUGUAGUAAAGCCUUUUAUAUGGAAGAGCUAACCUUCUCAACACGUACUCAAUCAAGAUUCACACCCACAUAUUACUUUUACGUAUCUUAACUUUACCUUAUAUUUGUGGAUGGCAUUUUUCUCCAAUAGGUUUCACUGGUAAGAAAACAUUUCUUGAUUUAUCACCGAUGUUGUUUGUUUGUUCGCAAGGGAGAAGUGCUGGCCUCCCACUUCACUACAUGUCCGUUACUUCUUAUGUUCUUGGUAUCAUAAAAUUGUUAAAUUCAUGAAUUAUAAAUUUUUAGGUACCCACACGGCCACCGUCAUGGUUCAAGCUUAGUUAAUAUGGAACUUGGUUGUGUUGAUUUUGUAAGGAAAGAUGACUCUAAAACAGAGGUGUAUGGGUUGGUGAGAAGACCCGUAUCAAGUAUAUGGUUUUGUAUCAAGGGCUCAUAGCCUCAUACCUACCAUAAGUUGUGAUCAGCUCUACAUACCUGCAAUGUUAUCUCGUGACAUUUUUGUGGCAAGAAGGUCAAGACAACACAUAUGUUUGAAAGUUGAAUGUUGAUCCUAAAUAAAAAUAUCAGGAAAAUUCUUGUACUACAAAUGUAUACAAUAUAUUGUUUUCAUGAUUUAUGCCCAGCGAGUGUUAAGAUUCUACAAGUCAUGACAUGCAUUUUUUCACCAUAUCUUUAUUAUUUGAUACUAAGUUUGCUAUGGUUAUGUGCUUGACAAUAAUCUUAUAUAAUGUAUGAGUAAAAUAUAGAGUUUAUAGUCAGUUAAUAAGGAUAAGCAUUUUCUUGGUUAAUGCAUAAAAAUUAGUUUCCAGGCUGAGUAUGGAAGCAAUCUAUGGAAGCAAUCUAUGUUAAGCAUGAUUGUUAUUGUAAGAGUCAAGUCUACUUUAAACCUCUCCUCGUGCUCUGAGUUGAACCUCCAAGUUCAUUACUAAUAACACCCCCUUUGCAGAUCAAAUGAAAUUUACCACUCAUUUUGAUCAUCACUGUUCUCCAUUUUUGCAAACUGACCAAAGUUGGAAAAGUUUUCAACUCGAUUAUUAACAAAAUAUGGCUCAGUUUACACACUUUCGACAUACCUAUCAUUCUAAGUAAAAAUGGACGGGCGUAGCAACGCGCGUCAUUAGUGAACUAGUAUUUCUAAAGCUAGCUGCUUUGGGCCCACCCAAUGAAGCGUGUGUAGCUCCGCCACUGCUCACACAUUCCUCCAAAAACAAAGUCAGUAUAUGUAGUAGCGGCCAGGAGCUGGUCAAGGUGAGCAUAGAAAAGAGAAAAAAAAUUCGCUUGUACAUGAUUUUUUUUAUGUAUUAGGCAUGGUUGAAUGACAAGUAGGUUUUGUGUUUUGCUUGAUCGACCUAUUUUCCUUGUAGGAUUCCAUUUCCUAUUUUCCAAACUAAAAGUUUGCAAUUUUUCCCAUGUUCUUCAAGCAUGUGCUUUACACAUGGUUUUCUUUCUUAUUUCUCUAUUUUUUCUAUUCCCUUAUGUUGCAUAUCUACCAUACGUUUUAAUUGAGAGUUCGUAAAUUUACCAUACACCUUUUUUUCGCUGAACAAUUCAGAUCACCACCAUAUUGUUACUGAUAGAAAUAAAACUAUUUUUAAAUCAGGUGUUUUGUAAAUAGUACUCCCUCCGUCCCAAAGUUAUUGUGUUGGAUUUGUCUAGAUACGGAUGUAUCUAGUUAUCUAAAUGAAUCCAUAUAUAGAAAAAUCUAAGACAAUAAUUUUGGGACAGAGGGAGUAGGAAAUUAUAUGUUCUUUCAAGAAUAGAAAAUUACAUAGAUGUUUGCUAUACUUUCUUUAGUUCUUUUAGGCACUAAAACUUAAAAUAUUUUUCCUUAAAUGGGGAAUUUACUGUCCACUUAAUGUAUGCGCAUCUGUUUGAUAAUCAUGAACAGAUUGAUCACAGAUUUAUUUGGAUAAUUGAAAUUCUACUAAAUGUUUUUUCUGUGGUGUACGGUUAGCAGAAGGGAAAUUCACAACAAACACAAAUAAGAGGAUAGCUUGUCAUGGAUUGCCUUGCUGAUGUUGUAAUAAAAGUGUAUUCCACAUCAUUUCAAGCUAGCAGCCUAGCUAAUUGAAGCAACAUUACUCAGUCUUUAUCAUGCCAGUAGGCUAAUGUGGCGAAAUUAGAUAACAGGGAAGGUAGAAAGUCACCAACCCCGAAAAGCAUAUAAAAUAUUUCAGUUUUAGGCCACUGCUCAAUUUUGAAGAGCCAUUUGCGUGAACUUUUUCUGAACUUUGGGACUUUUCGAAUCAUACUUCCGCUGUCCCAAAACUUUUGUCUUAGCUUUGUCUAUAAAUAAAUGUAUCUAAAUAAUAAAAACUUGAUUAGAUACAUUUAUAUCUAAACAAAUUUAAGAAAAUAAAUUUUGGGAUGGAAGGACUACAAAAUAGGCAUCAAACAUUGAUUUUCUUACUUCUUUAGUAUAUUUUAUACAUUCGGUUGUUGAGCAUGACAACCGAGCAACCUGAAAUAUACUUCAAAAUAUGGUAAGAAAAUUUCAUAGGACAUUUUUAGCUCCCAGGAAAUAAUAAACGUUAAACAUUAGUAGCUUUCUUACACAUAGGAUAUGAGUGUAGCUUUUUUUUCCGCGCAGACAUAGGAGUGUAGCUUCUUGACCUCUAUGAUUUAGAGCAUCUCUAGCAGACCAUGUAAAAACGUAAACUGUAAAACUGAAAUACAUGUAAAAAAAAGGCAUUUUAAGGGUCCAUUUUUGUUAUGUCCGAAUAAAAACUGCAAAACUGCCGUAAUGAGCUUCUUCAUUCAGUUCGGCGGCCGGCCGUGCCGGCCACGUCCAACCCCGUCGGACGCGCCCCGUCCCCUGUCGGUUGUGCCCCAUCGCCCGUCGGCCGCAGCCCGUCCCCGUCUGCCGUGCCCCAUCACCACGCCGGUCGCGCCCAGCCUCGCCGGCCAUGCCUUGUCGCCUUCGUCGUCACCGACUUGCUCUGUUGCCAGCCGUGCCGGCCGAGCCGUGCACCUUUGCCUGCCGCCCUGGGAUGAUUCCGACGGCCAGGCUGAGGUCAUGGGAGGCCAUAGCGAGAUCGAGCUCGUCCAAUUCAAACCGACGGCGAUCGAUUGCGGCGUCCAACGACCUUUUCCGGUGUGGGUGAUGAAUUCCGGCAAGUUUAGGGUUUCGGCAAACUCCGCGGCGGGGUGUUUGCUCCGCGGAGGCCCUUAGAAUCGGUCUUCCAACCUUCAAAAAUAAGGGUUUCGGAUGUGGCUUUACCGUGCCCCUUAAAAUUUUACGGGUUGGAUCACUUUUACGUUUUUUGUUCUGCAUACUUUUUACGACCAAAACUGUAGAAUGCAAUUUUUUUACAGGUUUGACCACUUAUACAGAGUCUGCUAAAGAUGCUCUUAUGGUUUGGAAAACCUGUAGCAACGCACGACCAAGUUUUCUACUCCCUCCGUCCGAAAUUACUUGUCGCAAAAAUGAGUAAAAAUGGGUGUAUCUAGAACUAAAAUGCAUCUAGAUACAUCCACUCCUUUCACAAGUAUUUUCGGACGGAGGAAGUGGUUUAUUUUUAAUAGGAGGGUUUAUGGAUAGACCGGGUAUAUAUGGAUGAUUUGAGGGGUUAGGUUAAAUCAUUUUAUUCUUCCUUUUUCUGUUCGAUCAUUGAUUACAAAUGUGUGGGAGGUGGUUUGAAACGUCCGGAUGUAGAUACGCGGCAGCGAUAGAAAUGAGUUUGUAUGCCCAUGCACACGGCUCGUAGGAUCCCCGGAGGAGAAGGACAGCUUGGCCGUUUUGCGAAGAGGCUCGGCUCACCUUCCCACCGUUGGGGAUUCCGGGCCAGGUUCAGUGAACACGCGGCAAAGCAGCAGGAUGCAUCCCGUCAUGUCGCGUAGCUAGCUCUACAACGAGAUGUCGCACGAAUCAUCAGGGGCAUGCAUGCAGACAUGUGCACCGGGGCGAACGGGCGAAUGCGGUUAACCAGCAUGCUGAUGCCGCAUCAUUAUUCGUUGCUUAGAAGUUGAUGAAGCCUUUGAAGGGAAAGUUGGGCGAGCAGAAGCAGCCCAGUCGUCCAUGUGAGCGGCAAUAAGUUAAGCAGCAACAAGAGAAAGCUGUCAUGCUAAUCGAUCACUCCAUCAGUCCGGUCCGGGGUCCCAACGAGUGGACGAGAGAGGGCCCUGUCCAUUGCCAGCAUAGUUUAUCAGCAGGAAUGUGCCAAGAUCAAUCACUUACACGCUAAAAAUAAAUGAAGUGGAGUUAAUUGUAUAUAUACUUACAUGAGUGUCGCCCUCGUCUGAUGGAAUGUUACGUGCGGGAAAAGAUGAUUACUGGUUGCCGGCCGUGAUGGUAAACGUCCACGUCCCGUCUCCGCGGAGGCCUGGACGAUUCCCAGAAUCCACCGGCCGAUUCGACGGCCGUGCGUACGUGCCGCUCGCAGGCAGCCUCCAACGUGCGACCGAGGACAGCAUAUGCCGGGAGCCCGGGAUUCCAUUUUUUUACCCCAAAAUUCGCAGGCGUUCUCUUCUCCUACAGAUCACAGUCACAGGUGGUGUUAUGCGUUCAGGUGGCUAAGCUUUUGUAUAAUUCGCGAUUUUCUACGGAAGGAGGAUGAGUAACAGGGCGCUAUUUGUUACUGCAGCUAGUUUUGCAUUAUUUCAGGCGUUUAAUAAAGUUUCUAGAGAAACUAAUCUAAGACUUUACCCUUAUUUUCUUUGCAAAUUUGAAUAAGACACACCCUCUCCCGUCUAAAACAACUGUCAUGGUUUUAGUUUAAACUUGAACUUGGGCCGCGACACUUAUUUUAUAUCAGGGCGGUGUAUGUUGCCAUAGGGUAGAGGAGUGGUCAAGCGAGGAUUCUGGGGCCUCCAAGCUUUAGCGAGCCAUCGUUUCAAAAUGUACGCUUCAAAGGGAUUUUAGGAUCCGUGCAAAAAUAAAAAUAAAAGAUCUCAGGAAAAAGAUAUAAUGAAAUAUGACCGUCAAAAAUUCUGUAGAAAAUGUUUUCGAGAGGUGCAUGCACAAAAAGGGGAGAACGUAUAUCUUGGUCUGAAAAUGAUAAUCAUGUAUUGACUACUAUUGUGGUAGUAAGAAUCAUCUUACAUGGUUUAGCCCCUCCUAAAACUUAUGAUCAAGCUCCGCCAUUGCACGUCGUUACCAUGCUCCGGGACCUCGAGCGACUGUCAUGACAUAGUGUAAUUACUGUCACCAUACGAUCAUCAUAUUUUUGCUGCUUCUCCUGCGCAGCUUUGCUAGCCUUGAUCAACAAUAGACGGUGGAACAAAAAACAGCCACCGAGUCCUAAAACCAAGGAAGGGCGACUCACCCCUGCCCUUCCCGAUCGGGAGCACCAGCGGUGGCUUCCGAUGCGCCUGCCUUUCCCUUCACCUCACCACUUUGGUGGCUCUAGGGUGGUGGAGAAAAAAGAGCCUAUGGUGGCUGAACUCCACCCUUCUCCUCGAGUGCAGUGGCGGCAACGGCUGUCGAUGUGUCGUCAACUCACUACUCCUUCCCACAUCGGUGGCCAUUAGGAAGGGGCUAGUUCAUGCUGGAGUGGCGCUAGAUUGAAGGACCCGCGCCGAGGUGGAGCCUAGCUCCCUUGGCGUUUGACAGCGAGAAGCCCUCCCUGUCAGUGUGGCGGCCCUAGACAGAAGGAUGGUGGCGCGAGGCGGUCGAACGACAUUCCACGAUGGCUCUGCAUGGCUUGUCAGUUCGUGCAGGAUGGUGUUGUGGUAGCAGCGUCGACCCUAUGCACGAUAGAUCUAAUGUUUGGCAAUGGCGUGUACAAGUUUGAUGGUCGGCAUGUAGUCAGGCUCCCGAUCUAUGAUGGAACAUGGAGGCAUCGAAGGCUCCUCCGUUCACUUGAAGAACGUUGGGGCAACAACCUUGGGGUUAUGGUGGAUCCUGCAGGCCGGCUCACGCUGGUAUGAGGUGCAUCGACUACUUCUCCAAUGCGGCAUGGCCAGCCUACUGAUGUCCAUGGUGAUGGUCUUUGGUGGGCUUACAUACCACACAUCCGCUAGUGCCACCCUGAUCUAGCGGUGAGGAUUGAUAGACGUAAUUUUUUGAAUAUCCGUUGCCAAGAUGGUAUUUAAAGCACACUUCAUGUCCGGGGUGAAAACCCUUGUCCCGUCCUUUGUUGGCCGGGUUUAGCCGCGGCGAACUCGCGUUGCUCUAUCGAUGAAGGCGUUGCCACAGUGACUAGGACGGCGUCAGGGAGUAUCCCUUCGUGUAGGCGCCGUUGUGAAAGAAGUCGACAUAGUCCUAUAUGCUACUACAUUCAUGUGUGUAUAAUGCGUGUAUCGUAAUUGCUUUCGUUACGAGGUCCCAACCUUAUUUUCGAGAAACACAGAAAAAGAGCUUUGCUAGCCUUGUAAACGUGUGCUUCAUUUUUUAUGCCCGGAUGGAAAAGCCCUUUCGGAAGAAAGAAAGAAAGANNNNNNNNNNNNNNNNNNNNNNNNNNNNNNNNNNNNNNNNNNNNNNNNNNNNNNNNNNNNNNNNNNNNNNNNNNNNNNNNNNNNNNNNNNNNNNNNNNNNNNNNNNNNNNNNNNNNNNNNNNNNNNNNNNNNNNNNNNNNNNNNNNNNNNNNNNGAAAGAAAGAAAGAAACUGGGAUCGAAAAGCAAUCAGCAGUUUGGGCCUGAGAAGAGUUUGGACGUAACAAGAGGGCCGGCACGAAAAGAAGUCCGGUUCGUCUUAAAAGUUAAGACCCGUAGCACAAAUCAGACGGACGCCGACCCCGACCCCAAAGCCAAAGCAUCGGCGCACGUGCCGCUCGCCGCGCCCGCACGCACGGACGGACGGACGGGGGAGAGCCGGCCAGCCAGCCCGAGCCGCCGCCGAGAAAGUUUCCAGCGGCAGUUGGGCGGGCCUUGGGGAGGUGAGUUAACACGAAACCGAACCCUCCUCCCGCUUCCGGUUCGUCAUUCAUUCNNNNNNNNNNNNNNNNNNNNNNNNNNNNNNNNNNNNNNNNNNNNNNNNNNNNNNNNNNNNNNNNNNNNNNNNNNNNNNNNNNNNNNNNNNNNNNNNNNNNNNNNNNNNNNNNNNNNNNNNNNNNNNNNNNNNNNNNNNNNNNNNNNNNNNNNNNNNNNNNNNNCCACCGCCACCGCCACCUUCCCCUCUGCCUCCCCCAUUCCAUUCCAUUCCCCUGGGUCCGGUUUGGAAUCCGGGGGGGAAGCCACCGGCAGGCGGAAGCCACCGGCGCACGGCAUCCCCCACCCCCUCGUCCCCAGCCGCCAGGCGUGCCCCUCCUCCCCGAUCCGCCGGCAGCAACGCGCGAUUCCGUGCGCCCAAGGCCUGGUGAGCUUCCUUCCUUCCUCGAGCUCUUGCUUUCCGCCCCCUCCUUCUCUACGCGCGCGUCCCUCUACCCGGGACGAGCGGCGGNGGGGGUUCUGGCUGGCGGCGGCCCGUGGACGAUGGGUUUGGUGGCGUUUCUUGCGCGUGAAUCUGGCGGGGUGUUUGCGGGAUCAUGGUGCGUGUUUGUUGCUGAUCCGGGCGUUCUGGGCGCCGUGCUUGUGGAUUUCUGUACAAUCUCUGUGCCCGUGAUUAGGCGAGGGAGGGGGAAAUUCUGAUCCAGCCAGGACAGAACCGUGUUGUAUGUAGCUGCUCGGCGUUUUCUGUAUUUUUCUUGGCGUCAGCGGGAUCAUAAGAUUUCCUUUCCCUUUUGUGCUNNNNNNNNNNNNNNNNNNNNNNNNNNNNNNNNNNNNNNNNNNNNNNNNNNNNNNNNNNNNNNNNNNNNNNNNNNNNNNNNNNNNNNNNNNNNNNNNNNNNNNNNNNNNNNNNNNNNNNNNNNNNNNNNNNNNNNNNNNNNNNNNNNNNNNNNNNNNNNNNNNNNNNNNNNNNNNNNNNNNNNNNNNNNNNNNNNNNNNNNNNNNNNNNNNNNNNNNNNNNNNNNNNNNNNNNNNNNNNNNNNNNNNNNNNNNGUGAAUGGCUUGCUUCCUGGUGCCAACUACUGUCAAUGGCUUGCUUUGCUGUGUCAACUACUGUGAAUGCCUUGCUUUGCUGUGUCAACUACCGUCAAUGGCUUGCUUUGCUGUGUCAACUACUGUGAAUGGCUUGCUUCGUUGUGCCAACUACUGUCAAUGGCUUGCUUUGUUAUGCCAGCUACUGUGAAUGGCUUAAGGGGUAAAAAAUCACUAGCUCAUGUGUGGUGAACGGAUGGCUUCUUAGAGUGUAGUAUCGCUUAAUGACGAAUCGGAAAGUAAUAUGUCAAGAUAACAUGAGGGCUUCGUUUGACAUUAGUUGAUACAUUUUGAUGGGUAGGCGCAAACACCGUCGUAAAACUAUUGUAUGCAAGCAGGCGCCAAAUUCGUUAAUAUAUGUGUUGCAUCUGUGCCCUGAUUCAGUUCCUCUGUUCCAGUUGACAGAUCCGGUUAAGUUCUCCUGUUGGCAAACUCCCUGACCUGGUUUAAAGGCUUCUGAAGCUGCAUUCUGGCACAAUAUGAAACCUGAUUGGUUGAUUUUCUCCAAGCUUGAUCAUAAUGGAGGAUACCUGCAUAAGUUUCCAAUUGGCUCUCCAAUAUCGCAUGACAUCGGGUUAGGAUUGGUAUCACAAGUUGGAGCUUUAGUCGAGAGUUCCUUUCAGCAUCCGCGGCAUGUAUCUUUUACAGCAAGUGGUGCAGUUCAGGAAGCAUUCAGCUGCUUCAACAAGGUUGCUGGGGCUUUCUAUUUCUGCCUUUCUAGAGCAUCAAAUCCCAAGAUUUUACACAGGUUGUCAGCUAUUGCGGGCUCUGGUUCAAGAGCCUGUCGGGCACAAAUAAAGCAAGCGACCUCUUGCAUGCAGCAUUUGGCUGGAUUGCAAGUCAGAGAAGAACAUGCUGUACAAAUGCUCUUAGCCAAGCUUGCAAACGCAACGCUUGGGCGAGUGUGGAAUGAGGUUGAGGAGCGUCAUGCCUGUAACAUUCUUAUGCUAGCUGCUGCUAGUGUAAUACCACCAUUUGAAAACAUGUAAGGUUCGAACCCCUGCUUUUUAUAGAAAGGGAAUACAAUGCUCUAUCGUGAUAUAUCUUGUUGGAUUGCUACUGCUUCCUUUCUCUGCCCCGUUUAUUCCUGUAGGCUAUGCUUUUAUUUCAUUUUUUUUGCUUUAUUAACUGAUCAUCAUUAUAUGCAUUGAUAAGAUCACCAAAGAUGCUUGCGGAUUCAAUGAUGUUGGGAAAAGAUGGUGGCCAAAUCAGAGAACAUGUUGAUCAGCCUUAUUUGGACGAAAGGCGCCCAGGUUGUGCUCGUGUUGCUGUGCCAAGAACAAUAUUGCCAGAAAAUCUGACAGAACCAACAACUGGGAUCAAGUUCCCUACUCUUCUUGAGGAGAAUUCCAAUCCAACCGCAGAGGUCCUUUUUCCUACUCUCUUUUGUGGAUAAUUGUGUCAUGCACCAUUUCCCUUCAUACCAAACAUUGUUUCCUUUCCUGUUGACCUAUUACAUGUUCUGCUCUCAGUGUUGUGGCAAUUAUUUGGACACUUUUGUCUGUAUCUUGUUAUUUUGACAGUGUCACAAUGUUUUAUACUCCCUCCGCAAAGAAAUAUAAGAGCAUNNNNNNNNNNNNNNNNNNNNNNNNNNNNNNNNNNNNNNNNNNNNNNNNNNNNNNNNNNNNNNNNNNNNNNNNNNNNNNNNNNNNNNNNNNNNNNNNNNNNNNNNNNNNNNNNNNNNNNNNNNNNNNNNNNNNNNNNNNNNNNNNNNNNNNNNNNNNNNNNNNNNNNNNNNNNNNNNNNNNAUGCUCUUAUAUUUCUCUACAGAGGGGGUAUCAAACUUUUAAUCUUUCUUAGGCCUUCAGCAUUCCCUUUGACAACAAACAAUUAGAAUUACAGGUGCUUGUCGGGAUGGGUUACAGAAGUAUGCGGGUAAUGAAGGUCAAAAACCUGAAUCUUUAUGCCUUUGGAUUAUGUGAGUAGGCUAAAUUUCCCUGUCUGCUGCUAUUACUUAUGAACUGAUAAAAAACUGAGGUACUGCUUAAAGGAUGCUCCUUUGAGUUACUGAUGUCGUAUUCGACUAUUCUUAUAGAUAUACAACCAGAUUCUAUCUGCAACAAGCUGGGUUCAAAGUAUGCUUCUGUUCCAGUUGCUGAGCUGAAGGAUCACCCGGAUUUCUAUGAAGAUCUUCUGAGGUGUGAAUGCUUUAUUGAUCAUGUACAUGUGUUAAAAUUCUUUGUAUGAAGAUCUUUCCCAUAUUCUUGAGCUUACACAGCCUAUUUACAUGUAACACUUGUGUAAGCUGAACUAGAGAAACGGUUCCAUCUGGCAAAAAUUCUGGAAAUCGUCAAGAAAGAUAGCCGUUUAAUGUGUCUGUUCAUAGAGAAACGGUUCCAAACCUGCAAUUCUUUCAUGUCAUUUUUAGGAUUCCCUAUUUACCAGCUGUCAGUAGAUUCCAUCUGUAGGACGCUGUAGGAUUACGAGUUUUGAUGAUGUGUAGGAUUUUUCUUUUUCCCUGAUACUACAUCAGAAACAUUCAAUUUCUUCCCCACCUGCAACUCAUUUGCCUCUGUUGCUAAUAAAGUUUUCAUUAUACUUGCGCUGUUAUGCAGGGAAAAUAUUCAUAUGACAGUCAGACUGGUAGUUAGCUACAAUGGGCUAAGCAUAAGCGCAGUGCGAGAGUAAGUAUUCUUAAAUUCUCGUGCCAACAGUAGCAUAUUUUGAUCCUUAUCUAUGGUUCAGAAGAUAUGGCCAAAUGCAAGAUUGAAGUUAAUCGUUUAUUUGUAUUAACAAACUUUUCAGUGCAUUUGAGAAAUCUCUUGGCUUUCGUCUGCAAAAGGUGAUUGUUGUUAAUUCAGCAGCUAGUUUAAUAUUCUUUGCUAUCUGUGAUAGGCUUAACAGACCUUUUUGUUUACUUUACGGUCAGAUGAAUCCUAAUACUGAUUACCAUUGCUUGAAGACGUUUGGGUCUUACUUCAGGGAAGACAUCCAAAUACCUGUUGUAAGCUUCUAGCCACAUCUGGUUAAUAUUAUUUGUUGCGCUUAGCCAUGGGAUACUAUAGUCAGUUUAACUGCAGGGUACAAAGAUCGACUUCCGUCAAACAUGUGAUGGCCAGCUUAUAACUGAAGGUUAGUACUUACAUGUACGAUAAUAAGUGCUCCCUGCUUCCCAGAAAAUAAGCCCUUCAAGUUUUGUCGUCAAGUCAAGCUUUCUUAAGUUAAACCGAGUUUAUGGAAAAAAAAAUCAACAUCUACAAGACAAUGAAAUAUGUGUUCACAGUAUAAAUGAUUCUUUUAGUACGAUUUGAGUUAUUUUCCACUAUAAUAUACAUUAACAAGGAAACUCUGUGUGCAGUUGAUGGCAAACAAAUCGGUGCUGUCCAAAGCAAAGAUCUUUGCAGUAAGUGCAUGCUCCUAUAUAUUUUUUCUGCUGCAGAACUAUAGAUCAUUUACUUACAGCGAGAAGCCUUACGUAAAUUACUCUGUCUGAGUUAUAAUACGCAUUUACUAAACCCUGUCUACCAACAGGGGCUUUCUUCGAUAUGUAUAUUGGUGACCCACCUGUUUCAGUGGAGACCAAACAAGACAUUGCCCAGAAUGUGGGUGGACUCAUUAGAAGAUGCUAGGGUAGCCGACGGUUGAAAUUAUUUGAUUCUUCUAUAAGGGGGAAACAACAUAUAUAUAGACGGGAAACCAGGAGAAGAUCGCUUGUAUGUAUAGUAAGUAAUAUAUCCGUAACUUGUAUACUAGACUAGACUGUGCAAACCUGUAGCGUACACAGAGGCUUGACGUCUUCUCCUGGGCGGAUGCCUCCAUGAUUUUCAUAUGGGCUGGCAUUUGCUAUUCCCUGGCCAUUGUAUCAUGUACACUGAUUCGGUUAUAAGUGUAGCAGAGAGCGCGUGUUUCCUGCAUCAAUAACAAAACAAUGGCUUCGUUUUUUCCGAUUGAUAUCCAUGAUGCGGUUUUUUUUUAAACCGACCCUCCCAUUUUCAGUAAGCAAAGCUAUGGCGACAACGGUAGAUUGUCUUGAGCCUUAUUUCCCCUUUUUACCUGUGAUGCGCACUGGAUUUUUGGUAGAUAAGAUCAAGUUAUCGGACACCACUCUUUGCAGGUUUUUGUGCAGUGGCGACACCGCUGUCUGGUGAUGAAACAACACUUGGUGACCCUUUUCUGUUCUGGUACUUAUUUUGUGCCUAUGCACACAAAAAAUAGACAUGGCAUUUCAGACGAAUUCCAUUGCUUCCAGGUGAGAUAAAUUCACCAGCGGUCAUUGUAUUUGAUAAGGAAAUUCACUUUAGUCAUUGAACUAUGGAAUACCCUAAUUACGGUGUUUAUUGUCACGUUAACGAACAUUGCCGGUCACCGCGCACGCUGUAUCGAUGUAUUUGGCACACAUGGCAUGCUAUUUGACCUUUUUGUUAAAAGUAAACGAGAGAGAGAAGCGAAUGAUUGAAAACGAACAGUCUUCUCAUUGAUGAAUGUUGGGGUAUUUAUACCCAGUACAAGGCGCUAACUGCACAGGCAGUAACUAGACGGUUGCUAACUACACAACCGACAUAAAGCAUGGAUUAUUAGGAUGUUAAUUAAUCCUUAACACUCCCCCUAAUCUAUGCUUGACUAGGUUAAUGUACAUCAUUUUGAUAGACUCAUCCUAAUAUAUAGCCGCCCUUGAAAAUGUUCAUCAUCUUCAUCUUGAGAAAUCCUUGUAUAAUCUUUAAAAUCUCCUCCAAAAAUCCUGUGAGAAAAAUAUGAGGAGAAUAGUGUAGAUAUGUUGCUAAAACUCCUUUAAAACCCCGUGGGGAAAAAUAAGGAAAAAAUGGUACAACAUAUAAUGAUUAUUGUCUCGUGAUAACUCAUUUGAGAAAACCUUUGUAGAAGGAUAAAACUCAUCUUUGAGUUUAGAGAACAAUAAAUAUGUCUUGAGUACUUCCUUUAAAAAACCCGAUAGGAAAAAUAGAAAGUAUAACAUUUGAUGUUUGAUAACAUAUUUCCUCAUUAAAAACCAUUAUGAGAAAUUUUGAGAGAAAAUUCAUAAAGGAAAAGAGUGCAUCUGACAUGCCAUUGAAAACUUCUUUAAAACCCAGUGGAAAAAAUAUAAGGAGAAAAUGAUAUGAUAUAUACAAACACUUGUGUUUAUAUUGUCUCGUUAAAAACCUUUUAUGAGAAACCAUUAGGGAAAAACUCAUCAAGGGAAAAAGAGUACAAUAUAUGCAAUCUAAUGAUUGCUAACAUGUUAUAGUUUGGGAAAUUACUCCCCCUAAACUUUGCAAAUUUGGAGGAUGUGUCAUACUAAUUCCAUUGAUAUGAUCAUGACAUUGUGAAUAAUCUGUUGGAUUUUCAUAGUAUUUUGUUUGCAAAUGAUUUCCUCACUUUUCUAUAACUAUGAGGAUAAGUAAUUUAGGAGCAAUGUGAUUUAUGAUAUCGCUCUUCAUAUAACCUGUAGGUAUUGAGUAACACAAGUGGAAGUAUCUUGAUAAAUCAAGUUAUGUGAUUCUGAUGAAUCUCAAUGACAUGAUUUUGAGUGUGGUUAAUCAUUCUGCCGAGUCAUACAUAUUUUUCAAUGCUUUUAGAUAAAGCAAUUAUGUCAGAAUGAUAAGUGAGAAUAAUCAUUAAAGUCCAUUUACAUGUCUUCCAUAUGAAGGCUAUUCCAGCAAAUUCAGUCAUUUGAUAUGGCAUCGUUUGGAUCAAAUAAAGAACCAAUAUCAUUACAUCAUAUCAUGGUCAUAUCUUCUAUUUCCUCAUGGAAAUAUCCAAGAUUUAUUGUAAUCUUCAAAUAUAGGAUGAUAUUCCAUAUAUCAAAGCUUGUACCUUUUGUUGGGGGUUGCACUCUAAACAAAUAUAGAAAAUAUGGUGUCAGGCCUGACAUAGUUUGCAAUCAUAUGAGUUCUUUGAUAUUAGUGAGAUAGAACUUCGCGUCUUUAUGUCACUUUAUUAUCACCCAUAUGUAAGAAUAUAUUUGUACCCGAUCGGGGCAGUAUGACCAUACAUGUCAUUUAUUAUUAUGAUAUAUCCAAAUCGAACUUCUCGUAUAUGUUUGAAUAUAUGUAGAACGAUAUGUAUUCUUGAGAGAAUGCUCAAGUUGUAAACUUAAGCUUUUGGUUAAAUUCAAAAUUUCCGUCUUGAGAUGAUUUUAUGUAUGUUUAGGUCUUGUAGAGACAUUGAUGACAAAAUCAUCGAUAUACACAGAGGUGAUGUAAGGAAAUAAAAUUUUGAGAUUCCUUUAUUAAUACAUCAACAAUUAUCAUCCUUUGAGUAAUCCUUUGAAGAAGGAACUCAUUUAGUCGGUAGUACCAUAUGAUUUCCGACUAUUUUGAGCCAUAGAGUGACUUCUGAAAUUUUACACAAAUAUGUUGCGAUUUAUUUUGGAUUCGGAAUUGUAAGCCCUUCAGGGACUUUGUUAUAAAUUUCCGAAACGAGUGACCCAUAUGAGUAUGUAGUCACUGCAUCCAUUAACUGCAUGGAUAAUAUUAUUUGUACUGCCAAUUAUAUUUAUUAUCUAAACUUAAUUCCACUCAUACCAAGAGGGUAUCUUACAUCAUAAUUUGAUGUCGGGUCUCUGCGUGAACCCUUUUGCUACAAGCCUUGCUUUCUCACCACCUCAUUGACUUUGUCUAUGAAUGAGAAGUUUUUAGUAUCCCAUAUGGAAGACACUUAUGAGGAGUAGGUAUUACUGUGGUAAAUACCACUCGUUUGUAGAGCGAGGCUAUUCUUCAUUACUUGCUUCCUUUUAUGUGAACCAACAUGAGUGCAAGAGGCACUCUACCAUGGAUUUUGGUUCAGGGCCCAAAAGGUUUUAGCAAUUUUCAGAAGAAAUAUAUGUCGACAAAUGUAGACUUAAGUUAUAUGAUUCUGGAGGAAUCAAUGAAAUUUGUGGAAAUGUAUUUAUUCAUUUUAACUCCUUAUGAUUUCCUACAACAAUGGAGUCAAGGUGUUUCGAUGUCCCGACACAAAAACAUUUGUGCACAUUUAUGUCAGGCUUUGGAUGAUGAGCAUCCAGUGAGGUGUUCUUUCAACUUGAUGUUGAAUUACAUUUACUGGUUGAGGAUUUGAUUUCCUCUAUUUCCGCGGAAGCAUAUGCGAGAUUAUAUCUCGUGUGGUCAGAUUUCUCCCCCUCUUGCUCUCAUUUCGGGAGAAGAGUGGAUUAUUAGGUACCUCCACUCUUUCUGACAUUUUACUGUAGGAAUAUAAAAUUGAGUGACACCUUUGUCAUGAGUAAAUGUAUGUGGCAGAUUUGCAAUGAGUUGCAAAUAUGUGAUUCUAAACUUCUUGUUCAGAUUCUUUGAGUGCGUGGAUAUAAUGACUGAAUGUCAAUAACAUAUCUAAUUUAUUUUUCGGCAUUCUUUGUGGUACUAAUCUCCCCCUAAUGCCAGAAAUGUCCUUAUUGCUAAUGCAAUCAGCAUACGGGCUGUGAAUAAUUUGAUUGACGGAUAAAUUGUUAUUCCUCACAUAGAUCCCUAUUUUUCUGUGAGAGCCCAUUGAUGUAUGCUGGAGUGGUGAUAUUGGUAUGUAACUAGAUUAUCGCAGAUAGGAAAUACUUUGUUGAUUUCCAUGUAAUUACUACAAGGGAAAAUAGUAUGGUAUGCAGUUGGUAUGAUUUAUAUCAUACUUACGGUGUGUAAUGUCGUAUCUGUCUAGCAAGAGGCUAGUAAAUUGCAAUUCUAUAAGUUUGGUCAUGUUAUUGAUUUCACUAUCUUUGAUAAGAUAUUUAACUAAACCAUUCUGGGUAUGCACAUACAGUAUUAUGUAUAAUCAGACAUUGCUUGUGAAAUGAGUUCAAUGAAGUUGUCCAUUCGAAUGGAUUUAUCCCUUUUUAGGAUAACUUGCUCUUACUUUGAGAAUUUGAGCAAUUAAUUUAGUUAUAUCAUUCAUGAUUUUGUGUGACAAGAGACACACUAGAAAUCAUUUUAUAAAUGUUUCCAGGAGUGCCAUGAAAUAUCUAUAUAAUACCACAUAAUGGUUGAGUAAUCCACAUAUAUCUUCUGAAUGUGUUCAAGAAAAAAUGAGUGGCUCAUUUAGAAUCUUAAGGUGAGAGAGCCUUAGAACUUAUUUCCCCUAUGGCACAUGCGGUGCAUAUAAAAUCUUAUGAUUGGGGAAGUAUUGUAACUUAGAAAGUUGUGACCAAUAGAAUUUCCAAUAAUUUUUCUAAUCAAUCCCAAACCAGGAUCGUAAGGCUUAAAGCCAAGUAUUUUGUAAGAUUUAGAAAAUUAUUUUGUACGCAACAAAACUGAGUAUGAAUUGAUUCAUACAUUCAAAAAUUAUCAAAUAUAAUGUCCAAGAAAUAGGAUAUUGGACAUUGCACUACAUGUAGCAGUACAAGUAUAGCCAAACAAUAUUUUGGGAAUAAUCAAGAUAUUAUAUGAGGUCUCCCAUAUUAUUGAAAAAUGAAUUACGCAAACAUAUCAUAAGCGCAAACGAAUUGAUCAUUCUUUUCUUGCACUAUGUUUUUGAUUCUCCUUGUGAUGAAGAUUCGAGAACAUCAAUUACCAGAAUAUUUUCUGGUUGUAUGUUUGCAAAUUUUCAAAUAUCCCAAUGAACUUAUUUUCCUUUUAAUAAAUUUGCGAUGUGGUUUGACCAUAUGUUUGAGGGUUUGGUAAUCAUAUGUACGAUAUAUAUGUAACCACACAUUUGACAUAUGUGGUUUGACCAUAUGUUUGAGGGUUUGGUAAUCAUAUGUACGAUAUAUAUGUAACCACACAUUUGACAAAUUUGAGAGUUGUCUUUGUGAUCAUUUAAAAACGAUCAAUUACCAUUUAAAAGGUAAUUAUGUCAUUGGUUGUCUUUAGCCUCCACUUUACUUUGAAUUUCUCAUGGUUCUAUUUUGUGACCAUUGACUUGCUUCUUAAUACUAGCAAAUAUUUUGAAAUAAUGGUAUAGCACCCAUUGGGUGAAUAUGAUGAUUUUAAGAAAUACUAUGUUUCUAUACCAUGAAAAUGGUAAUGUCAUCAUAAGAGGAUGUAAAGUGUAUUAUGGGAUAUUCAAUCGGAUUCAAAUAUGAAAAAUAUCUGAUCAUAAAAUCUCAACUUCAAGUUGAUUGUAUAAUUACCAAAAUUGUAAGGUGCGGUAGACUUGAGGCCUUGAAAAAUUAUUGGGUGAUCCUUCUAAAUGUGCUCAUGGCAGCAUGUUUCUCUUAAGUGAAAUAUUCAAGGUGAAUAAAUAUUCGUCCAUUAUGUACUUAGUUUGAGAACUAAGUGAAGUUGGUGAUAGACGAAAUACAUACGAACAUAAUUAGAUAUUAAGAGAAUAGCCAUGGCACAUAUUCCGAAGGAGGAGUUAUAGUGGCCACAGAUGCCGCAUGUGGAUACAAUGACUGAUGUCAUGAAUCAUCUUACAAUAAAUACUCCCACAAAAUCAUGUGUUUACUGUAUUUGGAAAUGUGCCAUGCAUUACUUGAAAAUGCUAAUGCAUUUAUUUAAUUUACUGCUAGGAGUAAGUGGCAUCUAUGAAUAAAUGAUUUGUUUGAGAACAAUCAUGGCCAAGGUGAUCCUUGGUAAACCUGGGUGUAUCCUUCAAUAUAACACAUGUGAUAAAAUCAUUGCUAAUGUUUUGGAUGUCAUUCUCGAGGAAGUGUGUGACUUUAGAGUCAUUGCCAAAACGUAUAGAUUUUGCCUGUUUAACAUUGGUUAGUCACUGUGAAAGUAUAACCACGAUGUGAUGUGGACCUUGCAUAAGUGUUGAGACACUCAAUCAUUGCCAUAAAUUAUGGGGUCCAUCUUGAUGGUGGACGACACUAUAAUUAGAAAUAAUGACGUAGGCUCCAUUUUCAUGUAUUUUACCAAUGUAAUAAAAGGUAAUCAUUGGAGUAUGCAAAUUUUUGCAUAAUUUUCCAAGACCGAUUCAAGCAAAUUUAGGCUUGAACAAUUCAUAAUGGCACAAAAAUACCAUUUUAGUAUAUCACAAAUGUGCAAGAGCAAUAUUUACUAUGAGAGUAAAAUAUUUUGGUGAACAACAACAAUGAAUGCUUUAGAGGAACAAAUUCUAGUACGAUUGAUGCCUUAUAGCCAUAUGUGUAGACCUCAAUUUAUAUACGAUAGCACUUUGAAGAUAAUCACCAAUAUGGUGUAGAUCUCACAGUAAUAGCAAACAUAGUCUGACUUUUGUCAGUAGAUGUUCAUAAUUCUAUUACCUUAUGUUAUGCUAUAAGAAAAUCACUUUGAAGGUAGUCAUCAGUCAGAAUGACAUGAUGUAGACCUUGUAGCAAUAGUGAAUAGUAUGCAAAAGUUUGCAGUAGAUACCAAUAUUACCUUAUGAUAUCUUGAGGUAGUCAAAUAUUAAUUUUUGAAAGAGCACUUUGAAGGUAAUCAUCUUGUAAAAUUGACAAGAUGUAGACCUUAGAGUAAUGGUGAAUAAUCUGCAAAUGGUGCAGUAGAUGUCACCAACACCUUGUGUUUCACAAAUAAUAUUUAGGCUAUAUACACAUUAAUAUUUGGAAAAACACGUUAAAGAUAGUCAUCUUGCCAAAAUGACAAAAUGUAGAUCUCACAGUAGUGAUGGAUAAUCUGCGAAAUAUACAGUAGAUCCCAUCAAGUACCUUGUGAUUCCAAAUUCAGUUUUAAUUAUAUAAUAUAGUUGUUGCACUAAAAUUACAUGUUACGGUGAAUGCUUGAGGCAGACACAAUGAACAUGUUCAUUUAAUUUCUCUAGAUAGAAUUGUCAUUUACAAUCUUAAAUGCAGUCUGGAAAAUGAGUCUCGUGUCCAAACUUGCAAAAUAUUUGAUCGCCAAGUCUACUAUUUAAAGUACGUACACAUACUUGAUGGAAUAUUUUGCAUGCUAUGUACAGAACAUAGUUCCAAAAUGUUGGAGAACUAAACCGAAGGUUUAGUAAAUGCUAUAGUAACCCAGGUUUCUGUACAAUAAAACUGCAUGGACAUGUAUUGAUUAUACAGAAGUACAAGGGCGAAAUUGAAUAAUAGACGAAGAGAUAAGGUUCGUUCUGGCCUUCCUUCCUCUCCCGUGCGGUUAGGGAUUUAUUCCCCAAAUCCACCGCCGCCAAGGCCAGCCGAGCGCCGAUGCUAGAAGGAGGAGCCGCGCUGGAGGGCUUCUUUCCUUCACGCGCCGGAAGGCGUCACCAUGCCGUGCACCGGCCGUUGGCCGCUGCCACCGCUGUGCGUUAGGCGGCGAGCGCCGCGCUUGGAGCAGCCUGGCCGAAGGAUGCAGCCACGGUGUAGCCGUCCCGCGAGGAACUUGGCCGAGGAGGCGUCUUCCGGACCAUGGGUCGUCAUUGGAGCUUGCCUUGGACAACAUUGAUACGCCGUCCUGGAGGUUAGUCUGUCGUCUCUCUACGAUUUACCUUUUGGAGAUCGUGUUUGAGGUGUUUGGUCGUUGAAUCGAUGUAUUCUUCUCUAUUCUUCUGCUAUGAACUCAGAUGGAUGUAAUUCUCGUGAG
rnacentral:lncRNA from 1 species